rnacentral:lncRNA from 1 species
GCAAGAGAUAUGUUGAUGCCACCCAUGCUAUGUCCCACUAAAACAACUCUUUCUAGUUGUGGCAAAGAAUUCAUAAAUUCCAUUAAUGGUUCAUUGUAAUCAGCCAUUGAAUUGAGAUCAUCAACAUGUUUUGGAUUAAUUCCAGAGGCAGCCAUGUCAAGAACACUAACUUUGUGUCCUUCACUUCUUAGAAUUGUCACAACUUUGUACCAACACCAUGCACCAUGACAAGCUCCAUGAACUAGUACAAAGUGAUUUUUAUCACCCUUUUCCAUUUUUCCCUCUUAUUCUUGAAGAAUUAUUUAGAUAACACUUCUCUAGUUAUUAAGAGGAAUUUAUGGUGAAAGAAAAUUAUUUUAUUUACCUAUAAAUAAAUUAUUUAGAAGGAGUAGUUGCUCUUUUUGUCCCUUGAUUCUUUAUGAAAUUUGACUUUGGUCCUUGUCAUAUCCCAAUAUUCAGAUUUAACCUUGAAUUGACGCGUAUUAUAUUGCUGACUUUACAUAUAAAUUAUAUUAUAUUUUGAUUAUUCUACGACAAUUUUUCACUCAAGAGUGACCAUAUAUAUAUAUAUAUAUAUAUAUAUAUAUAUAUAUAUUUGUUUAGUUUUGAAUCAUAAAUCUGUCAUGUAGGAAGAUGGAUUAAAGAAUUAAAAAGAAUAUUCUUUUAGAAAUUGAAUAAAAAUAAAUAAAAUAAAUAAAUUAAAAUAAAAGAAGUAACACACAUGAAUAAUUAGAUAUAAUUAACACCCACUUUAUUUCUAUUUAUGUAAAAACAUUACUACUUUAAGACUUUAACCAAGUGUUCUUUAAAUAUUUUGAAUUACAACUAAUUGUUAUAUAUAUGCCUUAAAAACAUUUGUUAUGUAAUUUUAAAAUAUGUGAACUAUUUAUUAUUUCCAAAAUAUAUCUUUGUGCAAAUUCAUAUCGAAAUGGAAAUAUGUUGGCCAUUCUACUCCAAAUCUUGCCACGAAUAAAAUGUGAAACGGAGAGUAAUUCAUUUAACUUGUGAAGAUUCAUGAGUAAAAAGAUCACAAAUACACAAUUCACUUCAUUGUACUUAAAUAAACAUUAAUAAGAUUCAAAUUAAACAUUUAUCAACAUCUAAAAUUUGGUUUGAAUCAUUGUCAUCCAUUAUAUUAUAUUGUAUCGUUAUUGUACCUACAAUGUUUGUUUUGAUUGUUACUUAGAAUAUAUUAUAUUGUUAAAUUUCUUUAUUAUGUAAUAAUGAAAAUCUCAAUUUAUGGAAUAACCGAUUUGGUGUGUUUACAUUGUUACUUAAUUUAUUUUUUCAAUUAUAUCCUUGCAUAAUAUUUCAUAAUACUCUUUACCCUUUACCCUAUAUUAUUUAAAUUCUAAUCAUAUCUCUUAUUCUAAAAUAAUUUAUGAUAUUUUAGUAAAUUCAUAAAUUACAAUACAGUGCGAUACAGUCAAUUCAAACAAUAAAAAUGUUAUUAAACAACAACAAACAAUACAGUCUAGUCAAACAUUGUAGCUAUCAUUCAUUACAAUAUAAUAGAAUAUAAUACAAUAUAAUAUAUUAUGAAACAAUGUGUAACAAUGAUCUAAACAAAGUGUAAAGGACUCUCAAUGCAAAUUAUUUCUAUUUAUUGUUAUCCACAUUUAGGCAAUCACAUCAAUUUGGGGGGAAAAUUGGAUGAUAUGACAUGACAUAGAAAGAGAUUAAGCAAGAAACCAAUAUUUUGAUGUGUCCAAAGAUAAUAAUCCAUUGAUAUUGUAUCUCUAAACAGAUAUGUUGUCUCUUGCACCUUGACUUGUCAAAUAUCAUUUAUUCUAGAUUUUACUCACUUGGAAAUAAUCGACAUUCUAGGUACUGAUUUUUUCUGUAUUCUGCCGUACGCACGUUAAUCCACAUAGUGAAUUAGAAAGCAACAAAUACUUAAGGGCAGAAGAUAUAAUUGAGAACUAUUUUACUUUUUUUUGUCUCAAUUUUUUAAGUAUUUUAAUUUGAUUGGUUAUAAAUUUUAAAAAAUAAACAGUGAUUUUUAAAUUUUAUAAUCUUAAAUAAAAAAUAUGUCUAGAUUGUAGUACUUUGAUUAAGGACAUGUUUAAUGUGACGGUGUCACAAUCCAAUCUGUUGGGCCAUAUCUAGUGGCGUACAUAGAAUUUUUAGUAAGUGGUGUUGAUAUUUAUAAAAGAGAAGUUAAAAAUUUAACUAUCGAGUUUUAAAAUAAGUUACAUCCUUUUCUCAUCGUUGGCUUAGAUUAGUGUUAAACCGCAUUUUUUGUUAUAUUUUGCAAAAGAAAUGCGAUAAGCUUCAAGAUGAGGUUUGAACCCCCAAUCUUAAACACCCAAAGCAAACAUAGAACUAACACGCCAUUAGGUUACUUCAAUAAUGAUAUUACUGGUUGAUUAAUUAUUAGUCUUUAAAGCUCCUUCACAUCAAUCAUCAAAGACUAUAAUGAUAUUUUAGCUUCUUCCUAAUUUUCCACACCUAAAACUAAUUAAAAUUGACUAUUUCUAAGUUUCAUUGGUAAAAUCAUUCAACAUUUGUAUUAAUCCACAACUAGACAAACAAGGAAACUUCCAAUACGCAAUAUUUUCAAAGUUCAACAAUUUUGGGUUCUAGCUAGCUAGCCUUUUCACAAGAUCGAUAGGACUAGAAAGAUACUUGCCAUAUAUAAAUAGUCCAGCCACCACCUAUAAUUUUAAUGAAAAAUAUAUUUUGUUUUUAUCAUCAUAUACAAAAUUGUAUAUGGGUAUUCAUUGUUCAGUUUAAAUCUAUUUUAAUUCACUCUAAAAGAAAAUCGAACUCAUAAAGUUACGAAUUUCAAUAAUUAAGUUGGUAUUCCUAGCUUUAGAUUUUUGUUGGUUCUAUUUUUAUUUUUUAGUAGAUAUGCGAUGCUAUACUUCCAAACACAUAUAUAGUAGAGUACGUGGCUAUGUAAUCAAGUUAUAUAUGUACCUUCCUCAAUAUAGUCAUGCCUAUUGUCAAAUUUUUUAGCUAUGUUCAACAAACUAAAUUAAACUUUUUAGAUAAUUUAAAUUAAAUAAUGAUUAAUGAUUAGGUGAUUCAAAGAUGAAAUUGCCUUUGAAUUAUGUGAAAUAAAUCAGUAUAUCUUUUAUAUUUUGGGAUCAAAAAUGUCCUUGCCGUUAUUCUAAGAGACGACAAACAUCCUCAAGAGUUAACAUCCCAAAUUUAUAGUGAUGUGGCAAGCCACCUAAGAAUAAAAUGUUGCUAACUAGAAUUAACUUUGAAAAAAAACUAGACCUUCUACGCACAAAAGUCGUCAUGAAAGUCCAAAAUAUUGCCACUAAAGGUUUUAACUUAUUUUUAGCAUUAAAUUUCGAAUUUGUGUUUUUUCUUCAUCAUUUUUAAAAAAUUACAAAUAAUACCGGUCAAGAAGGAGCUUUAAGAAAUUGUAAGUUUUAUUCUUAUGUCAUAUGUAUUGCGUAAAAUGUACAAUGAUGUACUAUGUCAUAGGUGAUUUGAAUCGAUAGGUAAUUUUGAUGAUUUUUGUAAUAAUAUUUAAUGUUUUUCAUAUUGAUAGUGCAUGUUAUUUAUUUUAGAAAAUUAGGUUGCAACCAAAAGUUAUUUAUCCUUUUUUGGUUGAAAAAUAUGUCUUACUAGCGAAGGAUUGUUUCAGCCUUACUCGUCACUAAAAAUCACUCUAAACGUUUAGUGAUAAUAUUUUUAGAUUUUGUGACGACUCUUUUCGUUGCGAAAAGUGUAGUUCCUUUGUAGUAAAUUCUAGUUAGCAACGCUUAGGAGGAGGGAUUAGUCCCAUGUGACUUGACACAUCACUAAAAAUUUGGGUGGUUAACUUUUGAGGGUAUUUGUGGUCUCUUGGAAUAACGGCGGGGUAUUUUUUUAUCCCAAAAUGUAAUGAAGGAUAUAAGUGGUAUAUUUAGCAUAGUUCAGAAUGCUUUUGAUCCUUUUAUGUUCAUAUAUUAACAGCUAGAAAGGAAACCAUGAGCUUCAGGCCUUAAGAUUGUGAAUAAGCUGGGGAAAACUUUUCUUGUUGUUUCCAUAUUUGCUAGCUUGUAUUUCAACUACUUUGACAAUACAAUAUUAUUUUACUCUUCUUCUAAUCACUUUAUUGUAAAUAUAGAAGGACUCACAAACUUGAUUAAUAUGUACUUUUGUAAAGAAUUCACUAAACUUUCCAUAAGGUUCUAGUCUAAAUAAACAGGCACAACAGUUUUUAAGAGAGUAUAAGAUUAUGAAAAAAAAUGACAUAACUCUCAUCAUAAGGAAAGGGGGGUAGAAGGUGUCAGAGAUCAUCUUUGUCUUCACCCAAGAAACAUCACUAAUCCUGCAACCAGACUAUACUAUAUCAAGUGGCAAAGAAAGAGUAGGUGGGAUGGUGGCAUUGCAAGAGGUUUUUGGUUAAUCAAUGAGGAAAAACUUUUAUUUUUUGGUUGAUUAAUGAAGGAAAACUCUUAUUUAGGGUGGGAUGACUAUGAGAAUGUACGAGGGUUAGGAAUAAGUUAUAAUUAAGCCAUGUUGGUUUAAUACUUUAUCGUAUGUUAUGAAUUGAAAUAUAGAAGUGGUUCUGUGGGCAAUUGAUCCGUGAAGAGUCUAGUGAAAAGAUUAGAUAUUGGUAUAUUGAAGGGCUGUGAUUAAAUGCAAGUUGAUGAGAAUCUAUGAUCAAGAUGAUGCCACGUGGAGUUGGUUAGGAAGUUGUUAUAAAAUCGUAGUUAGAGGAGAGAUAAGGAACUAACUUUUGGAAAUGCAAUUUCUUCCCAUUUCUAUUUCUGCUUCUCUUCUACUCCUUCGAUCUUCUGUUUCUCUUCUUCUUCGAUUUCUGUUUCUCUUCUUCUCGAUCUCACUCUUUCUUCUUUAUUGUAAUUCAAUAAUGUCUGCUCAGUAGUUAUUUAGCAUUGGUUUGUUAUAAUCGAGAACUUCUAGAGUCAAUAAAGUUACGAUUCAAUUUAUAGAUUUUCUUUAAAUUGUUGAGACUAAAAUUUGUGAUCUCAGAGAGAUCAUAACACUUGGUAUCAGAGCCUUCGAACUUGUGCAAUUGGAGGAGCAAUGGAUGAAGGAACGCGAUGGAAGAUCACUAAAGAUAAUCUAGUUAGACAUGAUGAAAUGCUAGUCGAUUUGCUGAAUUCUCAGGAAGAGGUAUGCCAUGCUCGGUCUAAAAUUCAAGGAGCAUUGAAUUUAAUUUUGGGAAGGCUGGGUGUAUUAGAAAGAGCACCGGCAGUUCCGAAUGUGGGAGCAGGUUUGCUGUCCAUUCUGAAUCCGUACAAUCGCAACCGAGCUCAGCUGAAUACUGUUGCAUUACCUAUGUGGGAGUUACCUUGUUUUGCUAGUCAGGAGCCUAAGGUGUGGAUCCGAAAGUGUGAGCGCUACUUUAUACAGUAUAGGGUGGAUAAUGAACAGAGGGUAGAAUUGGCUGCGUUAUACUUGAAUGAUGUUGCCGAAGUUUGGUAUCAGUCAAUGGUAUUAAGUGGAGGAAUUCCGAAUUGGAUCGAGUUUAGGGAGGAACUGAUAAGUCGAUUUGGGUAAAUUGAAGUAGGUGAUGUGGUAGAGGAGUUUAAUAAACUACAGCAGAGUGGUAAUGUGGAUGAGUUUUUAGAAAGAUCUGAAGAUCUUAAGGAUCAAAUGCUUAUCCGUUUCAUUGGAGCCUUAAAAAAGGAGAUCAAAUUUGAGGUUAAAAUGUUCAAGCCGACUAUGUUGAAGGAAGCUGUAGAGAAGGUGAGGAUGAAGGAAAUGGCUAUUGAAGUUGCACGAAAUAGAAGUAAAGGAGUUAACCGAAUAGUUACUCCAAUUGUGCAGGAGAUGGGUAACAAGGGCUCUUCUGCAAUCGGUAAUAUAAAUGGUCCUUACCGGCUUAAUCCUGAGGUUUACGAGUUUAGGAAGUCCAAUCAUUUGUGUUUUCGUUAUGGGGAGAAAUAUGGUCCAGGGCAUCUAUGUAAGACGAGACAGUUGAAUUGUCUAACAGGAAUUAUUGUAAAUGAAGAUGACAAUGAACCUGUGUUGGUAACUGAGGAAAAUGAAGAGAUAACUAUCGAAAGAAUAGUAGAACAAGAAGUACAGCAAGUUGUAUGUCUAAAUGCACUAACGGGACAUAAUAAAGGAGAGAACACUAUCCUUGUUGGAGGGACUGUGAAGAAGCGAGACUUAGCGAUAUUAAUUGAUUCAGGAAGCACUCAUAGCUUCAUCGAUAAACACACAGUUACUGCAUUAGUCUAUCAACCUUGUCCUUGCUUGCCAGUACGAGUUACAGUAGCGGAUGGCAACUACGUUAUGUGUAAUUCUCACCGUAAAGAUUUUUCGUGGAAAAUGCAGGAAAGAAUUUUCACGAAAGAUUUGCUCAUAAUUCCUUUAGGUGGUUGUGCAUUGGUGUUAGGAAAUAAUUGGAUGAAGAAACACAAUCCAACUAAGUUUGAUCACGAACAGAGGUGUGUUACUAUAGGCAAAAAGACCAAUAAGUUGGUGUUGCCGAGAAUUGUAGAGGAGGGAAAUUUAAGCAUGUUAUCUAGUGAAGCCAUGAGGAAAAUGUUGAAGAAGGGUCAGGAUAUGGUUACUCAUCUUUUUAUGAUGAAUAUGGUGACAUCAAAUGAGGAAGAGGAGGUAGAUGAAGUGCUUCAAGAGGUGCUAGUUAAGUAUUCAUAUAUUUUUACAAAACCGAAAUCACUACCACCAGCUAGAGCCUUCGACCAUGAGAUACGUCUCAAACCAGGAGUGAUGCCAAUUAGUCUUAGACCCUAUCGGUAUAAUUUCCAUCAAAAGAACGAGUUGGAAAAGCAGGAAAAGGAGAUGUUAAGCAGUGGAAUAAUACAAGCGAGUCAAUUUCCUUAUUACUCACUUGCACUAUUUGUAAAGAAAAAAGAUGGGACAUAGAAAUUUUGUGUUGACAAUCGAGGCUUGAACGACUUGAACAUCAAAGAAAAAUAUCCAAUUCCUAUAGUGGAUGAUUUUUUGGAUGAAUUACAUGGUGCUGCAAUCUUUUUGAAGGUGGAUUUGCACGCUGGAUAUCAUCAUAUUAGAAUGAGAGUGGAGGAUGUGCAUAAAACUGCUUUUUGGACUUACAUGGGACAUUACGAGUUUCGAGUGAUGCCCUUCGGACUCACUAAUGUGACAGCAACAUUUCAAGCGUUAAUGAAUCAGUAUUUUCAAUCGUUUCUCCAAAAAUUUGUUUUCAUCUUCUUUGAUGAUAUAUUUAUAUAUAGCAGAAGCAGAGAUGAGCAUUCGAGGCAUUUACAGAUUGUAUUUGAGACUUUGAGAGCUAAUGUACUAUUCGCUAAAAAGUCUAAGUGUUCUUUUGGUGAAGCUCACGUGGAGUAUUUAGGACAUAUUAUUACAGAUGAAGGGGUGUCUACAAAUCCUAACAAGAUUAAAGCUAUGGUGGAUUGGCCUAGACCUAAGUCAUUAGGAGCUUAAGAGGAUUUUUGGGAUUAACCGGUUACUAUCGUAAGUAUGUGUAGAAUUAUGGAACUAUCAGCAGGCCACUCAUAGAUUUGUUAGGUAAAGAGGCUUUUAAAUGGAGUGUGGAUGUCGAGACUGCUUUCGAAAACCUUAAAGUAGCUAUGAACACUACGCCUGUAUUGACUCUUCCUGAUUAUACACAUGAAUUUGUGGUUGAAACCGAUGCCAUUCAUGGGGGUAUUGGAGUUGUAAUUAUGCAGCAAGGAAGGCUGAUAGCUUUCUUUAGCAAUUUUUUGGCUACUAAACAUCGGGGCAAGUCGAUAUACGAGAAGGAAUAUAUGGCUUUACUCAAUGCAGUAGAUAAAUUGAGACAUUAUUUGCAGUUCAAACACUUUGUGGUUAAGACUGAUCACCAUAGUUUGAAGUACUUUUUGGAAUAGCAGGUCACUUUGUCUAUUCAACGGAAGGGGUUAAUUAAUUACUCGGUCUUGAUUAUGAGGUGCGAUACAAAAAGGGAACAGAGAAUCGAGUAGCGGAUGCUCUAUCUAGAAGACAAGAAGGUCUACAGAGCGAUGAAAAUCAAUCCACAGGUCUGCUUAUGGUUGUAAGUGUGAUCACACCUACGUGGAUACAAGAGAUUAUGCAUAGUUAUAAUGAGGAUACAUACGUUCAAGAGUUGAUUACACUGUUAUCAGUAAAUGUGCAUGGGCCUAGUUUAUGGCAUAACGUUAAUGGUGUGUUAAGGAAGAAAGGCAAGGUUUAUGUGGGAUCUACAGGACCUUUACGACAACAACUCAUAUCUACUUUUCAUGAUACUCCUUUAGGAGGACAUUCGGGUCAAUUGGGCACCUUCAAAAGGUUGGCUCAUUAUUUCUAUUGGCCUAAGAUGAGAUCUAUGGUGAAUGACUAUUUAGCUCAUUGUGAGAUUUGCCAUCGUAAUAAGGACGAUAAUGCAGCAUAUCCGGGUCUACUCCAACCAUUGUCGAUUCCUAAUCAAGCUUGGAGUAAUAUAAGUAUGGACUUUAUUGAGGGUUUACCAAAGUCGAAAUCUAAGGAUGUUCUUAGUAGUGGUCGAUCGAUUUACGAAGUAUGCUCAUUUUAUAGCCUUGGCUCAUCCAUAUACUGCAGCAACCGUGGCUGAAUUGUAUUAAAGACAAAUCCACCGAUUAAAUACUACUCCUGACUAUAUUGUUUUAGAUCGAGAUAAGGUCUUCUUAAGUCGAUUUCGGCAGGAGAUGUUCAAACUUUUGGGGAAUCAAUUGCACUAUAGUUCAGCCUAUCAUCCUUAGAGUGAUGGUCAAACUGAAAGAGUCAAUAUGUGCGUUGAAAUUAUCUUCGAUGUAUGACUGCAAGUCGUCCUACACAAUGGAAACAAUGGUUAUCGACUGUGGAAUGGUGGUAUAAUACGAAUUUUCACAUAGGUCUGCAGUGUACUCCAUUCGAAGCAUUGUAUGGUUAUACUCCCCCUCAACUUUCCAUUGGUCCUCUUUUGGAAACAAUGGUACAAGUUGCAGAGGAUGUUGUGAUGCACAGGCGACAGUUCCUUCAAUUGUUGAAAGACAAUUUAACUACUACCCAAGCUAGAAUGAAGUUUUUUGCUGAUGGAAACAAAACUGAGCAUAAGUUUUCGGUCGGAGAUUGGGUAUACUUAAAACUGCAAUCAUAUGGUUAGAUGUCCGUUGCAUUGAGAAAGAAUUUGAAGCUUACUUCUAAGUAUUAUGGUCCUUACUUGAUAACAGAAAGGAUUGGGUUAGUGACUUAUAAAUUAGGUCUUUUAUCUACUUCAAAGAUUCAUAUGAUAUUUCAUGUUUCGUUGUUGAAGAAGAAAGUAGGCAAUCGUGUGGUAGUUCAAUAUGAAUUACCUUAUACGAACGAUGAAGGAAAUUUUUUGGUUAAGACGGUGACAAUUUUGCAGCUCCAGAUGGUAAAAAGGAAAAAUGCAGCUAUGGUGCGAGUUUUGGUUCAGUGGUCUAAUCUUCCACCGGAGGAUGCUACGUGGGAAGAUUACGAUUUUUUACGCGCUAAGUUCCCUGGUUUUGAUUCUCAUCCUUGAGGUCAAGGAUGUAUUGAUGGAGAAGGGAAUGUUAUGAAUUAAAAUAUAGAAGUGGUUCUGUGGGGAAUCGAUCCGUGAAGAGUCUAGUGAAAAGAUCAGAUAUUGAUAUAUUGUAAUGCUGGGAUUAAAAGCAAGUUGAUGAGAAUUUGUGAUCCGGAUGAUGCCACGUGGAGUUGGUUAGGAAGUUCUUAUAAAAUGGUAGUUAGAGGAGAGAUAAGGAACUAACUUUUGGAAACGCAAUUUGUUCCCAUUUCUGUUUCUACUUCUCUUAUUCUUAUUCUUCGAUCUUCUUCAAUUUCCUGUUUCUCUUCUUCUCAAUCUCACCCUUUCUUCUUUACUGUAAUUCAAUAAUGUCUGCUCAGUAGUUACUUAGCUUUGGUUUGUUGUAAUCGAGAAAAUCUAGAAUCAAUAAGUUGCGAUUUGAUUUUUAGAUUUUCUUUGAAUUGUUUUGACUGAAAUUUGUGAUCUCAGAGAGAUCAUAACAUCAUAUUGUUAUCUAUAGAUGUAGAACAAGUCAAGAUUCAUAAGAAAGAUAAGACCCAAGUUUAAUAGAGCUUCCAAGAGGGAAUGAGAAGAGCUAGGGCAUUCACUGGUAAACUUCCUAAAUUAUUUGUUUGGUUUUCCUGAUUGUCACAUUGAUUGUUUCGGAUUCAUUUUUUUAGAGCAUACUCAAUAAUACAUGUGCAAUGUAGGGGUGUACAAAACCGAACUCAAACCGAAAAAAACCCGACUAAUAGUUUGGUUUGACUUGGUUUGGUGUUGGAAAAAAACCCGACGAUAAUAUUGAAUAUUUGUUUUUUUAGUUUUACAUAGAUUUAGACAAUUAAAAUACAUGAUCUAAUCUUACUUUCUUUUAAUAUUUAGUCAUGUAACUAAUACAUACUAAACUUAUUUUAGCACUUUAAAUUAUGAUCAAUUUCAUUAUGACUUAUUUGUUGAUUAAUAUUUUUUGUUAUUUUCUUGAGAAAUAACAUAGAUAAUUGAAUUUUGGUAGGAUUAAAGAAAAUAGUUGAAGUAUACGUAAAUUAUAUGUUUGUAUAGAUACUUUAUCGAAAAAACCCGAAAUCCAAAAAAACCCGAAUACCCCAAAGAAACCCAAAAAAGCCCGAAGUUGAUAAACCUGAGUUUAUUGGUUUGAUUUGGUUUAUAAAUUCAAAAUCGGAUACGAAUAAUUUGGUUUGAUAUUUGAAAAAUUCGAAUCAACCCGAUCAUAUACACCCCAUACAAUGGAUGCUAUUUUGCUGCAGCUUCAAAAUACAUUAUUCUUCAAUCUGAAAAAUGUUCAUCUUAACUUUUUCCAUUUAGAUGUUGUUGUGAAAUUUGACAAUUUGUUGUUCGAUUUGAGGAGUGAAUAAAAACUUCAAAUUUGGAAUCUUGUGAAUUUUCAUUUACACUUGCACUAAAUAAAUUAGAGGCAUUAAGAAAUGUUUAACUAAUUCAGUAUUUCAAUGAUUAAAGAUGAUAUAAAACAUAAGGUUAGUGUUAUUAAUUAGUUGUGCUUUUCUAAUUGCUUAUUGGACGCUCAAUUUGAUACUAUUCUGUUGCUGGAAAUUUUUUUGUGAUUUUACGGAAGCCGCUACACGCUAUGUCUCUUAGGAGGAGGUCUUCAAACUACAAAAGUUUCAAGUAAGGGACUUGAGUUGGACAUUAAUUUCUGCUUCUUUUGGUAUUUUUGUCAUUGAACUCAAUUUCUAGUUCAUCUUUUUGUCUGUUAUAGUUUUUUAUUUAUUUUGGGGGGUGGGGGGUGGGUCGAUCGGCUGGUGUGAAUUCUGAAUUUAAAGUAUAAUGACUGUUAAAUAUUAAUCUGUUAGUUAUUCUAUGUGUACAGUCAGAGUAGUUAGUUACAAGUUACAAUUUCCAUCAACUUAUAUAUUAGAAGAAAGUAGUUGGUACCAACAUCAGGCAUAUGUAGAACCUUGUAUUGAUACAUUCAUGUACAAUUGAUUGAUGAAAAUCACAAUCUUUUUCUCUGCUUCACUGAUAUACUUUCUUCUUCAUCUUCAGUUGAUGAAUGAGGAAUGAUGAAGGUUACUGAAGCUUUCAUUGUAUUAGAGUUUGUGUAGGUGAGCUGAGCCUAUUCUUCUCACUUCACUUCCAACUUCCUUUUCUGUUAGAUUUCUCUCCAAAUUAUAGUGCAAUUGCACUUGAUUGUCUUUCAUUAAUUUCUUCUUCUUCAAUUGGAAGUCUCUUGAAUUCGAGAUCUGCUAGGAUGGCGAUUGGAAAUGAUAAAACUGAGCAUGUCGGUGCUUCAAUGCGUUCUCACACUGUGGUUUCAAACACAGUCGCAAUUGAUCAGCAUCAUCCAUUGUUUCUUCAACCCAAUGAUACUCCAGGUAAAUCCUUGAUCUCUGUUAAGCUCACUGGUUCUGAAAAUCAUGCAUUAUGGAGUAUUCUAUGAAAAUCAGUAUGUUAUGUAAGAGAAAAUUGGGGCUUGUUGAUCACCAUUCUAGAUACACUUGGAUUUUCUUGCUACCUAUGUAAUUGCUCCCUAAGAGUUUUCUGCUUAUGGUAAAAACUUUAUAUGAUGUCUCGGUGAAAUAUCUUAGAACUGAGUUUUUCAGCUCUUCUAUUGCUGAGUUCAUUCAUUUCUUAGGCAUUAUUCAUCAAAGUUCUUUUGCCUACAACUCUCAGCAAAGUGGUGUUGCUGAGAAAAUACAUAGACGCAUUUUGAAUAUUGUUUGAGCCCUUAGGUUUCAAGCAUCUGUACCCUUGAGAUUCCAGGGUGAGUGUGUCUCCGCAGCUGUGUAUUUGAUAAAUAGGUUACCUAGUGAUGUGUUGUCUGAUCAAACACCUUUUACUGUGUUACAUAAGACACCUUCCAAGUAUGAUCAUCACAAGGUGUUCUGGUGUCUUGGAUAUGCGAAUGUCUUGAGUUUUAUCCCAAGGCUGUCUCUGCAGUAUUUCUUGGCUACUCUAUGACACAAAAGGGUAUAAAAUGUUUCUUAUUCACUCUAGAAAGUUCAUGUUCAAUUCAAGAAGAUGUGUUUCCGUUUCCAACUAUGGAUACUCCCCUUUCAUCUCUAUUUCAGUGCUACCACAGACAGUUGAUACAACCCCUACCAACAUCGGAACUGUCUUUAUUCCUAGUAAUGAGGUCACUCCUCUUGUCCAACUGAUCAGUGUGACAAUGGUCCCUCUCUAUCUUGUGAAGUUACUCCUGGUACCAGUAUUCCUGAAUUAGCUGGUGAGAGUGCCAGACCUUUAAAAGGAAGGAAAUCUACUAGAACCAUCAAAUCACUUAAUUGGCUAAGAUUCUGUUACCAAGGGUACAACUCCAACCAUCUGCUGCUAUCUCAUUAUAUACUACAUCAACUAUGACAUUCUCCUUUAUUUGGAACAACCCUCAGUACCUAUUCUAAUAUUCCAGAGCCCUCUACUUAUAACAAUGAGAGAUGAAAAUGGUAGCAGCCAUGAAGUCAAAAAUUUCUGCAUUAGAAGAGAACUACACUUGGAGUAUAGUAAAUCUUCCACCAGGAAAAAGUCCUAUUGGCUGAAAAUGGGUUUUCAAAGUGAAGUAUAUAACUUCAGGAGAGGUUGAGGAGUAUAAUGCAAGGCCGAUAGCCAAAGGGUAUAGUCAGCAGGAAGGUUUGGACUACACUGAAAUAUUUUCUACUGUAGCAAAAAUGGUCACAAUAAAGUCCAUCAUUGCAAUACUUGUGUCAAAAUAUUGGUCCAUUUUCCAACGGAUGUCCACAAAGCCUUAUUGCAAGGUGAUCUAUUUGAGAAGGUCUACAUGGACAUUCUACAAGGCUUUGCUACUGAGGUUGAGACUCAUAAACUGUGCAAACUGCAAAGUCCCUUUAUGGACUUAAGCAGGCCCCUAGACAACAGAAUAAAAAGCUUAGUGACACUCUACUUCUUCUUGGUUUCUCCCAAAGUCAUUUUGAUUAUUUUCUCUUUACUAAACACGUUGGACCAGAGUUAGUGGUGGUGUUGUUUUAUGUUGAUGAUCUAUUGGUUACAAGCAGCAGUCCCUCUCUGAUUCUACAAACUACGAAUGACUUAAAACUUAAGUUGAAGAUGAAAGACUUGGGUGAACUUAAGUUCUUUCUUGGCAUUUAAUUUUCCGGAUCAAGGAAGGGGAUGGUGAUGUGUCAAAAGAAGUAUGCCCUGGAGUUUAUAGCUAAAAUGAGGCUCAGUGGUUCUAAACCUGCUAGUUCUCCCCUACACUCUUCUAUCAAGCUCACUUCUGUUGAGUAUGACUCUUUCAUUCAUAAGGAGAAUCCAGACUAUCAUAUAAAUGAUCGUUUAUUACCAGAUAUCAGUAUCACAGGCUAGUGGAAAGAUAUUACUAUAUCUCACUAUGACAAGGAUGGAUAUUGCUUUUGUGGUACAAGUCUUGAGUCAAUUUAUGCACAAACCAAAACACUCUCAUAUGGAAGAUCCUUUGAGGGUUGUCAGGUACAUCAAAGGGGCACCGGGACUCGGCCUACUAACGCCAGCUAAAUCAUCUAGUACUUUGGAGGCUUUCUGUGACUCAUAUUGGGCAGGAUGUCUUCAAACCAGAAAAUCAAUUACAGGUUCCCUAGUUAAGAUAUAGGUGCCUUGAUUUCAUAGAACUCAAAAAAGCAAGACGCCAUCUCUAGAAGUUCAGCUGAGGCAGAAUUUAGAAGUAUGACAUCAGUGUAGCUGAAUUGACAUGGCUGGCAUGGUUGUUUAAAGAGCUUGGGAUAAGUAUUCAUCAGCCAAUACAUCUUCAAAUAGCUUCAUGAAAGGACUAAACUCAUAGGCAUAGACUGCCAUUUUGUGAGAGACAAGACAGUGCAGGGUAUGAUUAAAACUCAGCAUGUUCCAACUAAAGAACAAAUUGCAGAUCUACACACUAAGAGCAUUGGAAAGCGACAACUCGUUAUCUUUUUUCCAAGCUGGGAUUGAAAGAUAUAUUUCAACCAUCAGCUCAAUGAAGGGUAUUAAAUAAUAGUUUGUUAUUAAUUUGUUAGUCAGUUAGUUAUUCUAUGUGAAGAGUCAGAGUAGUUAGUUACAAGCUACAACCGUCAUAAAUUAUAAGAGAAGUAAGUAGUUGGCACCAACAGUAGGUAUAUAUAGGACCUGGUAUUGAUACAUUCAUGUACAAUUGAUCAAUGGGAACCACAAUCUUUUUUUAUCUGAUUCACUCAUACUUUCUUCUUCAUUUUGAGUUGAUGAAUGAUGAAGGUUACUGAGGCUUUCAAUGAUCACUUACCAUACAAUUGGUUCAUCCUAUUUUGAAAAGCUGCAAACUAAUUGAGUAAUGGAUCUAUUGCAACUUUGAUUUAUAAGAAAAAAAAUUGAAGAGAAGGGUGUGAUGAAGAAUAUAUAUGUGGCUAUUAAAUGCCAAUUUUUUUAAAGCUUUCAUUUACUAAAUAUUCAUUUGGCUAAAACAUGACAAUUUAAUCUAAGAAUUGUAGUAAAAUUUUUUGGUCUAUAUAAGCAAAGGUACAACCACAAAAGCUCAGCUACACAAGUAUAAUAUUGCCAAACACCAAUUGAAAAUUUAGAAUUCCUUUGACAAUAGCUGAGGGAGUUCAAUUGUCCCUCGCCUUAUUUAUAAGAAAGAGUAUAUACUUUCCUUUUUCUAGUAACCAAAUGGAACCCAAAUCAGAAAUUUCAUCAAGUGUAUCUGAAAUUUUAUCAAAGAUCAAUAUUGAAGAGAGUAUAUGUAUAUACAUACGGAAGUAAUGAAGGAUCGUAUACUUCAAAAAUGUUUUUAUAUUGUAUAAUUUUUCUCAAAGAAUGUUCAACUGACUAUAUGUGACUACACCACUAAUAAACAAGGUGAAAUAUCAAUGACACUUUUGUGAAAUCAUAACAAGACAAGAACAAAGCUCCCUAGGUUUAGAGAACAUGACCAUGUGGCCUGCAUCUUGAAUCAUGUGGACCUCAUCUGGUGGAUUAUUGUUAAUCAACCACCUUUGAAAUUGUUGUUCAUUGAGCACAUUGUCCUUUUCACAUACAACAUAAACACGAUGAACACUACCAUAUUUCUCUUUGGAAAGUUCAGUGUUUGUCAAUAGGACUGAUUCAUCGAAGAAUGGUACGGGCCUAACCAAAUAUGUUGCAAGAGUUAAGUCCUGUAGAGUGCCAUAGACAAAAAUUAUUGAAUCUUAUCAAAAAAUAAUUGAAUUAUGUGAAAAGGGCUGACUUUGAGAUAAAGACUCAUUUAUGUCAUAUGAUAAAAGUUUGGUUAUCUUUGUCAUUUACAUUGACAAAAGGCUUACUAUGCCAUGAUGAGUUAACUGAAAACUCAUCCGAUUUCGCAAAAUCAUUUUAUCCACAUGACAAUGAUAAUUUGACCACAUCAUUAGUUUAAUUAAUUUUUUGAAUUAGUCAAUUGCUUCCAAACUAUUAUCCUAGAAAUAAUAUACUCAGCAACCAUAGGUACAAUUAACACACAAAAAUGUAAGGAUUUGAAAGUUAAGGGAAAAUAACAUUAUAAUUUUUUUUGGGUUGAAAAAUAAUUAGUUUAUUGUUGAUACAUACUCACCUCAGGAGGGCAGAAUUGAUAGUAGAUGGUUGCUAAGACUUUAGGACCUAAAACGACAGAGGUUGGGCCUUUAUCCAGUCCUUUGUUAUACACAAAUUCAGUAUCCAUAGGUUCUUCCAUUUGUUGAAUAAACUGUCAAUUUGCAAACAUAAACAAUGAUUACUUUUUAGUAUAUUAGCAGUAAAAUAGUUGUAAUACAUGUACAUUCAAUAACCUUGGAAAUUCAGGUUUUUGAACUUUUGAUCACUACGUGUUGUAUGUACAAUUAUUUUUUUUAAGAUCAAAGAGUAAGACUUAUUACAUUUGAAAUUUUGUCUACGGCAUAAGCAGAAUUAGAAGUAUAAGAUUAUCCGCCAAGAAAGUUAUUUUUAUGGAUCGCCACGGAUUAACAACAUUAAAAUAAGGUUGUUAAGUGUAACGAACUACUCCGACUGUUAUUAGUAGACCAAUUAAUGCUGAAAGAAAUUAGUCUAAAAUUUUUUUGGGUAGUGGCUUGUAUUUCUAGGCUAGGCCAGACAAAAUCUGAGCAAGGUAAGGUCUAGAGAUAUCUAGGGUGUUACUCCUAAGGUUGGGGGUGGUGGGGUGUAACUUGAUUAGUGACGGGAAAAGCCCUGUUUUGGGUAGAAUGAUCAUGAGUUGGCUUGGGAUUAGGAUUUGUGUAUAGUAUUGGUAUUGCUAGGCCAUCAUUGUCUGAUUGUUGUGUUUUAUUAUUUAUUUUGACCAAGAACGAUCAAGGCAUUGAUAAAGGGGAAAGCUUGAGUUCUUUAUAGAUCCUAAAUGCUUGAUUCAAGGUAGGUGAUGAUUGCGUUUUCAAGUAUGUAAUGUAUGCAUGUCUAUUGCAUUAUAAUAUUACUUGUGCGAUGCAUGUGACGAAACUGAAGGCUAAUGUGAAAUGAAUUAUGUUGAUAAUCUCAUGCAAUGAAUAUGUUAUUUACUUAUAGGUAGAACUCUAGAAGUAUGAUUGUUUAUUGUGAUUAUGGUUGUGUGUGCUUCUUGUGAAUGAUGGUUGGCGUGGGUACCAUGCCGGUAUAAAAUAGUAACGGUUGUCUCAAAUACCACAUAUGUAUGAAUUAUUUAUGGUUGGUCCGGAUACUGCACCGGUACCCUAAUAGUUUGUGUGUGAAUUCCAUGAAAGAACCAAAUUUACAUGUUGGUUCCAUGGAGUAAACCAGUUUUACUUUUUCAUAAUGUGAUUAUGGCAUGUUGGUCCAUGAGAGGAUCAGGUAUGUGUAUUUUUGUGAUCAUGUGGGGCAGUUUUUAUGCAUUGGUUGAUAAGGAUAUUGUGACUUGGAGUCUGUAUUACUAUACUGUAGUUACAUGUUUACAUUCAUGUUUUGGAAUUAUUCGUAUGAUCCUAUCAAUACACGACUGUUGUAUAUUGAUAUUGUACUUGUUUUUUUUGUUGUUGAGUACAAGACAUAUUCAAGCGGCUGAUACUAGACCUUAGUUGAGAGGCGUUUGACCUCCAAAUUCAAGGGUGAGGUGGUCUUCCGGGCUAUCAUGGAUUCUUUCAGAUUUCUUUUUCAAUCUUUUUGGACACACAUUUUAGACUAUUAGGCUAGUGUUUUCUAGUUUUCGGGGUUGUAUCCCCACUAGUGAAUAUUUAGAGUUUUGGUGUUAUCACAUUCAGAUUCUAGGGGUUAAAUAUUAGGAUGAUUUAUUGAGUUUAUGUGAGCUCAGUAAUUUAUUUAUUUUUAAAUGAUUUCUUAAUAUUAUAGUAAUUUGGUUUCGCAAAGUGCUAGAUGAGUUAAGUUGGGUUACAAUUGGUUCUCCCACCAGAGGAUUUGUAUGGGUGCCACUCACGGUGGGCGAUGAUUGUGACAUGAAGUUAUGUGUUAAGUACUUUACAUAUUGAAUACGUUGACAUUAUUGUAAUAUUAUUUUGUCCUAUCAAUGUUGUUGAGGUAAUGAAGUUUUGAUGAUUUGAUACAUAAGUUGAAACACGGUAGUCAGCAUGGUCCACAGGAACAAUGAACUAAGCUGGGAAAAUUCAAGAACAUACGAAUAAAAUGUGUCAAGACAAGUGUGCAGGGAUGACAGAGUGGAUAAUGUUAUUUACGAGAUAAAUCGUAAGGAGUCUGAGUGAAGAGUUGGAGUUCAAUAACAAAACUGAUGAACAAAUAAGUUUGAUUAAAGGAGGAGAGUCCAAUUCAAAGAAGAACUCAAAGACAACAGAGGUCAAGUUAUAGAAGAAGCGGCUUCUGACUAGGUGUCUGCUUGAAGUGAAGCAUUCUGAUAGUUAUGUUUGGAUAGAGGAAGAGAGUCAAUAAAAACUUGAAAACUAAUAUAGCAAAGAGGUAAUUGACAUAUUGACUUUUCUGAAGUGUAGCUGAAUUUUGAAGCAACACUUCAAAGAACCAGGCCCUAUUACAGAAUUUAUGUUCUGUGAAGGUUUUCAUUGUGUGUAUGUCUUGAUGUACUGAUAGUUUAGUAAGUUAUAACCUGACAUUGGAUCAUUUUCUUCGAGUUAAGGGCAACUCAAAGACUUCGAGUUAGGAACACACGCCUUGGAGGUUUUUUGUAGCAUGGGGCUUAAUGACUAUUCGUAGAUUACGUAACUUUGUAAUCCUAUUUGUUGAGGCUAAUUAUUGUAGUGAAGUUUGGGAGUAAAUGUCUGUUGUGGAACAAGUCAUACACCUUUUUGAGUGGUGUUUCCAUGUUAAGUUAUGUGUAAUUAGUUUACUGUCCUUACGUUAUAAUUGAAACACGUUAGGCAACUUGUUCACCUAGGGAAGAGUAUAUAUAAGUAAGAUAAUUCUAGGUCAUGUAGAAUAUCAACUGAUAUUAGAGCAGGUUAUGAAACAUUCAAGAUGAAGGAAAACAAACCACUUCUAGAGAUUAUUACUACACUCACACUCUAAUCAAUUUGUUCUCAUCCCUAAUCAAUUUGUUCUCAUCCCUAAGAAAGGUUCUCAUUACUAAGGAAUAGGUUGAAAAAGUUUUGAGGGUUCUUUCAAAGGUAAAAUGGGAUGUCAAAAUUACUGUCAUUAGGAAAGAUAAAGAUUUCUCCGUCGUGACAUUUGAUCAAGUAGUAGGAAACCUCAGAACUUAUGAGAUGAAUAUGAAUGAUUUGAGAAAAGAGAAAAUAUUUCAUGAUAAGUCACCAGCCUUGAGAGUAUUUGAUGGUGAACAAUCUGAUCUAGAUGAACAACAAAUGACAUUCCUAGCAAAAAAAUCAAGAAGUUCUUUUUAAAUAAGAUAGGGAAAUGACAAGAAGGAAACAUUUACAAGUGUGAACGACUGAUGAUCAUGCUUGGAAAUGUUCUCAAUGUAGAAAACAUUGAAGGAGAAUACUAUCUUUAGAGAGAACUCAAGAUUUAUAUAGAUUACUUAAGGCUAGUUGAGAUAUUACAAACAUCAACUACAUCACUACUCAAAAUAGAAAACAAAAAGUCUUGCACAAUUAACUAGAUACAUGUAUCAUAAAUUACUGGACACAUGUAUUAUAAAAUCCUAAAAGACUUCUUGAGAAAUUAAAAGACAAUAUUGAAAUACUAAGCAUCAAGGUGUGAAUACAUUAAUUCCAUCGCUCAAUGGUAUGUUGAAUGGAGGAAAGAAAGAGUUGAAAAUGAAUUAAAAGGAAAGGCUGCAAAUACAAAAGAAAAAGAAGAAUGUGCUGUGAUUGCUGCUUGAGGAUUAGGAACUGAAGAAUCUGAUGAAGAAGUAAAUGAGACAACUCUCGUGGCAGUAGGAGAUUCCGACCAUGAAAAAGAAGAACAAUGAGGAAAACCCUAGGUAAAUAUUCUGGAGUGCAAAGAAAAAUUAAACCAUUUUUUAAAUAUGUAAUUCUUAAGUUAUCCAUUAUAAAAAUAGGGGAAAUAAGUGAUACUAAGAUGAGGUUAACAGAUGCUCUGAAAGAGUACAAAAUUGAUUUUUUUCCUGUGAGAAUGCCAAAGUGAAAAAAUAAUAAUUUAGAAGUGUAUAGGCCAAAAAUGGAUCUUGAAAAAUUUAAUCGAUGGAUACACUCAUCUAAAAAUUUUAACCAUACAAGUGAAAGAAUUCAUAAUGAGAAAGCUAACAUAGAUUUUCAUAGAGAAAGUACUAUUACAGAAGACUUAUGCUACAUUGGUGGCAAACUUGGACACUACUGAAUGUCCAAUUGCUAACAUAUCUAGAAAUAACAUCUCUGCAGUAUCUAGUAAAAACAGCUUCAAUACAGGUCAAAGAAACAGGUACAACAAAUUGUUGCCAAUUUGAAAAAAAAAUAAAUUAUGACAGCUAGUAAUCUUGAAAAUAUAUUUUGGGCUAAGGUCAUGAGCACUGCUUGUUAUAUUAUGAAAAUAUGUGUGUCUCGAUCAAUCUUAGAGAAAACUCCUAUGAAUUACUCAAAGGUAGAAAGACUAAUAUCUCUCAAUUUAGACAUUUCAUUGCAGCUGUUUUAUACAUUACAAUGGAAAAGAUAAUUUGAGUAAAUUUGAUGCAGAAAGUGAUGAGGGAAUCUCCUAGGGUACUCGCCACAUAGUAAAGCCUAUAGGGUACUAAAAAAAUUAACCAACUGUUCUGAAGAAAGUAUACAUUUUAAUUUUUAUGAAAAUAGUACCAUGAUUGAGACUAACAUGAAGGGCAUUCAUAAUAUUGAGGAGCAGGUUAUACAAGUAGUCGACAGGUCAAAAUAGCUGAGAGCACACAAAUAGAGGGAGUAAUAGAUCAAGAAAUUGACACUAUCUUGCACAAUCCAGUGUUGAUACCGGUGGAACUUCUCAAGGAUUGUCUAUAAAAGUUACAAGUAUCAAGGAUCGUAUCUAAUUGACAAUGUUCUUACUAAUCUAACAUCUGGGAUUACCACCAGAUUAGGAUUGAAGAAUUUGUGUACAUUCAAAAACUUCCUGUCAAUGGUUGAACCUAAAGGCGAAGGAGUCGCUCCUGGAUGAUGAUUGGAUACUGGCAAUGCAAGAGGAACUAAUCUGUUAGUGUGACAUCUUGUUCCUCCACAAAAAAGGACAGUGAUUGGAAUUAUAUCUAAUUUACUGCAAGUCGACAUGAUAUAAUUGUCUUAUAUGCUGGGUUUUCAAACAAAUCACAUCGAAAAUUUAUCAAAAAAAGUUUCAGGUUUCUUAAAGGAACAACUGAUUUAGGAGUUUGGUACUCCAUAUGAAGCAAUUUCAACCUUGUAGGGCAUGCAGAUGCUAAUUAUGUUGGAUAUUUGGUGGACAGAAAAAGCACCACAAGUAUGAAACACUUACUUGGAACUUGUCUUGUACAAUGUUCCACUAAUAAACAAUACUCCUUUGCCUUGUCAAGCAUUGAUGUUGAGUAUAUGGCAGUUGAUUCACGUAGUGGACAAUUGCUUAGGAUCAAACAACAACUCUUGAAUUUUGGUAUGGAUGUUGGUUGCCUUCCUAUCUUAUGUGAUAAUAUUAGUGUCAUAAACAUUGCCAAAAAUCCCGUGCAACAUAAUAAGACUAAACAUAUUAAUAUUAGGAAUCUUUUCCUCCAAUGAUAAUGUUGAAAAAGGUCAUAUAUCAAUAACGUUUUGUUCUACUGAGGAUCAAAUUGUUGAUAUUAUUGCCACGACAGGAAGAGAAUAUUUUUAGAAAAAUAGCUUAGACUUGGGAUGAUUAAGAUUGCAUAAACUCCAUUCAAUGAUUGGCAAGAAAAUAAUCCCUGAUAAUGUCAAAUAGCUAAUAUUUUGUACAAUUCUAGCUAGAAAAAUAAAUUGUCCAAUUGCUCCUUGGAAUACAUUCAAGAACCGGUUCUCUAUGACAUUUCUCCCAAAAUCCUACCUUUGAAGGACUGGAUAUCGUUCCACUCAUCAUAUCCCUUAUUAUGACAUUUCUCUUGUUUGAUAAUUUCUUCUUAAGAAAGUGAUUAAGAAACUCGUCGAUCAUUCUAAUUGAGGUUGUUGAUAAUGAAUAUUCCUCUCUUAAACUAGUUAUAAAGGAUAACACUACUAAUAUCGAUACCUCUGAUUUGGAAUUUUUGAAUCUUCUUCCCUUCCAAAAAUGGCCUCGGGUUAUCAUUGGCUUUGGUGGUCUGUAAAUGAAUAUAUUUCUUGUCAAACGAGGAACCCAACGAUGGAUAAGUUGUUCUUGCAAGAUAUGUUUAAAGGAAAUUUUCUUAACAUGAGAUGAUUGAGUUUUAUGGUUGACAAGUUGCAUGGGGUCCUCUCUUUUAAAUUAUAGUUCGAAGGGUGCCUAUCCAUAUCAUAUGUCCGAGGAUCUUUCUCGCAUUCUUAAUAUUCCAAAUGAAUACUGGGAUCACUAAAACUGAAUGGCAACCUCUAGAUAACAUGGCUUCAGCCCUCGAAAUCUCUCAAAAGUUUUCUGGCUGUCCAAAUUUGUCUCGUUAUCGGAGGGUUCUAAAGAGAGAAAUGUCUCCUUUGCACCAACUGUAUUUCUGUGUGGUCCAUAAGGUGACGAUUUCGUGAAAGGAGAGGGGGAUUGAUGCGAGCUAUCUAUCUUGAUUUGACACAUUAUAAUCUUCUCCUUUGUACAACACAUUACUGGUUACACACUAACUAACAUGUUUCAUCUUAGUAUUGCAAUGCCUAAAUGCCUAUAGUCAGUUAUGAUGAUUCGAUAAAUACAAUUUGAAACAUGUUAGUCAGCAUUGUCCAGAAGAACAAUGAACUAAGCUGGAAAAAACACAAACAAAAUGAGUAAAGACAAGUGUACACAAAUCACUGAGGGAAUAUUGUUGAUUACAAGAUAAAGCGCAAGAAGUCUGAGUGAAGAUUUGAAGUUCAAUCACAACACCGAUGAAGAAAGAAGUUUGUCAUUUGAUGAAAGGAGGAGUUCAACUCAAAGAAAAACUCAAAGACAACAGAGGUUAAGUUGUAGCAGAAGUGGCUUCUGGCAGGGAGUCUGGUUUGAUGUGAAAUGCUAUGAUAGAUGUGUUUCAAUAUAGAGGAAAAGACACAUUGAAGACUUAAUAGCAAAAAGGCAAUUGGAACAUUGACUUUUCUGAAGUGCAACUGAACUUUGAAGAACCAGGUCCUACUAUAUAAUUUAUGCUCUAGGAAGUUUAUCUUUGUGUUUGUGUCUUAAUGUAUUGAUAGUUCAGUAAGUUAUAAACUAACAAGAGGAUCAUAGUCUUCAAGUUGAGGGAAACUUGAAGACUUGGGAGCACAAGCCUCGGAGUUUGUGCUAGCAUAGUGCUUAAUUGAUAAUUCCCUAGAUUACAUAGGUUUUUAAUCCUGUUUGUUGAGACUCAUUGUUUUAUUCAAGUUAGGGUGUAAAUUAGGUUGUGGAGCAAGUCGUGGUUUUUCUACCUUUUGAACCGAGUGUUUCCACGUUAAGUAUUGUGUUUUUUUACUUUACGUUCUUGACCUUAUAAUUGAAACACAUCAAGCAACUUGUUCACUUAGAUAAGAGCAUAGGUAAGUAAGAUAAUUCUAUGUCGAGUAGAAUAACCAUUGAAUAAGUUUCUUAGGAAUGAGUUGGGUUAGAAGUACGGAAUGUAUUUGCACCAUCACAGUUGUCAAAUACAGUAUUUUCUACGGUAGCACCAUGAAUGGGGCCAUAGCAAAGCAGCGCCCAGUAUUCCGGCAACUCCCAUCAUAUGAAAGGGGAUCAAGGUCCAAUUAUGAAACCUUGAAAAAUAGGAUGAAUCGAAAUAUAGCUGCUACACCAAAACUAGUUGCAAAGAACCAACCAGACUGACCUAGUGGAUAAAUCAGAAAUACAUAAACAAAAACAGCAAUUGGACCAGAGAAUGCGAUUGCAUAUGUUCAAUUCUCAUUCAAUUUAUAAUGCCCCUAUUUUUAUGCCUUAUUGUUCAAUUCUCAUUCAAUUUAUAAUGCCCCUAUUUUUAUGCCUUAUUGUUAUAAUAUAGAAUCAUAAAAAGUAGAAUAAGAUGUGACUUGAAAAAUAAAAGCAGGUUAUUUGUUACAAGUUACAACUUACAACAAAAUGAAUGCAUCAAUGAGUAUUUUGUAAAUAAUAUUUUUGUGCCCGUUAACUACAAAAUUUUUCGAUAAACCCAAUUUAAUUCGACGCUAAAUAGAUCCUACUUGAUCAAAAUUUCAUAUAAUCCAUUGUUAUUUCAUAGCGUAAUGAAAUUAGUAUGAAUUAUUUUGUUAUUUAGAUAUGAAAUUUUGUCAGUCAUUAAUUCCUACUAGUGUUAGAUUAUAGAAAUUAAAUUCAUAUGAGCAAACCUAUUGGGUAACUGCUACAAGAUUGAGGUCAGGACCAGGCAUAGAAGCUGAGACAAACACAGCCACAGCAAUUUUUUGAGGGAACUUUUCCAUGGUAAGAGCUAUAUUGAUGCCACCCAUGCUAUGUCCCACUAAAACAACUCUUUCUUGUUGUGGCAAAGAAUUCAUAAAUUCCAUUAAUGGUUCAUUGUAAUCAGCCAUUGAAUUGAGAUCAUCAACAUGUUUUGGAUUAAUUCCAGAGGCAGCCAUGUCAAGAACACUAACUUUGUGUCCUUCACUUCUUAGAAUUGUCACAACUUUGUACCAACACCAUGCACCAUGACAAGCUCCAUGAACUAGUACAAAGUGAUUUUUAUCACCCUUUUCCAUUUUCCACUCUUUUUCUUGAAGAAUUAUUUAGAUAACACUUCUCUAGUUAUAUAUAUUGAGGGGAGUCUAUAUAGUGCAAGAAAAUGAUUUUACUUAGCUAUAAAUUGUUUAAAAGGAAUAGUUGCUCUUUUAAUCCCUUGGUUACUAUUGAAUUUUGACUUUGGUUCUAUGUGAUACUCCAAUUUUCAGAUUUAACCUUGAAUUGGUGCGUUUAUGUUGGUCACUUUACAAAUAAAUUAUGUUACAUUUUGAUUAUUUCUAGAACAAUGUUAUACUCAAAUAUAGAGCGACGAACAAUACAAAUUUAAAUAUAACACUUAACUAAUUAUAAUACUAUUUUAUCUUAAUUUAUGUGAUAAUAUUUUUUUUCGAACCAUAUAAUUUUUUAUAAUAUAUUGAAUUAAAAUUAAUUAUUAUGCCUUCGAAUAAUUGUUAUGUAAAUUACUUUAGAAUACAUUAAAUAUACUUAUGUUUAAAAUAUAUAUCGACAUUUUAAUGUGUUAGCCCUUCUACUUCAAUAUUUAUAUCUAAAUUAUUUCUAUUUAUUGUUAUCCACAUUUUGGCAAUCACAUCAAUUUGGAAAAAAAAAUUAGAUGACAUGACAUGUGUUGUAAGAAGUCAAUAUUUUGAUGUGUACGUCCACUUUCUGCGCAAUUAUUAUAACACACAUUCAUUCUUUGGUCCCUAAGAAACGGAUAUGUUGUCUCUUACCGUUGAAUUUUCGAACAUCAUAUCAUUUACAGAUUUUUCCUCAUAUGCUUAUUUUAUUUUCUUCUCAAUUUAAAUAUUUUAGUUUAAUUAGAUAUAAGUUUAUUAUAAUAAUAUUAUUAUAUUUAAUUUGAUAAAUUGGCAUAAUGAUAUUGAAACAGUGUUGUCAUAUUGCAGUGUUUCAAAAUGAAAAAAGACUCAAUUUGAUUUUUUUGUAUAAACACGCAAUAAUGAAUUUUGUGGAAAAAAUUUGAUCAUUUGAGAGACUUCAAUAUAUAUAUAUAUAUAUAUAUAUAUAUAUAUAUAUAUAUAUAUAUAUAUAUAUAUAUAUAUUGCAGUUUGGACAACAAAAUUUAAUAGCGUACGAGCCGUCCAACCUGACAUUCAAACAUUUAUCUAACUGUCAACUAGACAAACAGCAAAAAUGCCUCAUAGAUAAUAUAUGGAUAGCUCAUAAUAAAAAAGACACUAAAUAUGUAAUUGCAGUUUUAAAUGCGUUAGGAUAUUAUUUUACUAAUAAAAAUAAAGAAAAUAGUUUUAAAUAUUAUGUAGUAAUUCAUGGUAAAACUAAUGGAGUUUUUCAGACAUGGAUAGAAGUUUAAGACUCUAUUAAAAAUUUUCAAAAACCUUUUUUUUAAAGGUUUUAAUGAUUUUACAGAAGCCUUAGACUAUGCUAGAGGAAUAUUAGGACCAAAUUAUUAUAUCUCUCCAACCCUUAGACAAAAUCCAGAUAAAACUCCACAAUACAAUAUCCAAAAAGACACAGAUAAAAUAAUAUUUUGUGACCAUUGCUCAUCAAUGACUGAAGCAUUCAAAAGGCUAAACUCGAGAAAUGAAGCCUUAAUGCAAGAAAAUGUCAAGCUCAGAGAAAAACUCCAAAAAAUGGAAAGCAAAUGUAAACAAGAUGUACAAACUCAGACAGAUAAAUAGGGUUUUCCAUCUCAUAUAAAAAUGGAUGAGAUGGGUGUGCAUACCCCACUGAAUGCUAAGAAAUCCAUUGUAUCGGAUGAAGAUACAGCUAGUCCGGCUCAAACGGUAGUCGGUAAAGACUUCUCAAAUCCGUUGAUGACUGUCACUUGCCAAAAAGUGAAAAAGAUGAAGGGUCAUCUUCUAGAAGAAGGUUACCACUUUCAUUUAACCAGACUAUUAGACAAAAAAUUAAAAAAGCUCAAAAAAAUAAAGAUUUAGAAUCCCUUAUAACCCAAACAGUAGAAAAAUUACUCAGACAAAAGCAAGAAAAAGAUAAACAUAUAAAUUCAAGCCCAAUACAAAGCCCAAGACAAGACUCUAUUUCAAGCCCAAACAACUCAGACAAUAUUUCAGACUCAAUGCAAUUUGCUCAAGACCCAAAUGAUGAUGACUCCGGAAUGAGUUUUGAUUCAAUUGCAUUACAUAAUUUAGACACAUAAAAAAAUAAUAUAUAUAUAUCUGUUAUUAUUAAGUUUUAAAGAGGAAUGCCUCUUUUGUCAAAAAGUGUGAAUCCCACUUUACUCAGUACCACACAUGUGGAAAAACUGUUGGGACGCGUCUUUACUUUAAAUAAUGUUCAGGAAAGAGAUAAGAAUUGACGGACAGAUAUCAGACUACGAGGACAAUAAUGCAAGAAAAGGAACAUUAUUUCACGUGACGAUGGGGCCCAGAUGUGUACCCGGCUGAGAUGAUAAGAUUCCUUUUCAAUUUGAAAUCCGAAGUUUGAAGUCCGAAGACCUCUAUAAAAGCAAGUAUCAUCAAGACAAGAAAUAAGGAAAAAGCGAAAAAAGGCUAAGACAACCGCAAAAAACACUCUCUCAAAAAUCCUCUAGAAAAUCCCCUUUCUUUAAAAUUAUCUUAAAAAGAUUGUAGUAAAGUUUUCAGUUUAUUAUUCUAAAAUUUGUUUUUAAGUAAAAGCUUGGAAGCUUUUCGGGUUUUCCGAAAGGGAAACUUCACUCUGUUCUAAAUAAUGUAAGUUUUCAUAUUUAAGUUUCUAGUAAACUUCCCAUAUAUGUAAAUUAUGUGUGUUAAAUUAUGUGUGUUUAUAAAAUAUUAAUCUUGUAAAUUCAUGUAAAUUUAUGAAUAUCAUCAUGAAUCUAUAUUACUUAGUAUAUGGUUAGUCUCUUAGCUUCUUAUUUGUAUCGAUGGAUUAACCUGUAAAUUCCUAGGACAUUGUCAGGUUAAAUGUUCUGAGAAAGGAACUAUAAAUAACCAAAUCCGGGGUGUGGUUAAAGAAGAUUACUUUUAAGAACAAAGGCUAAGAGAAAGAGAUGAACAGUAAUAAUAGAUUCAUGAAUGAACAGAGUCCAUUAAAAAAAAAGGAAAGUUAAAACUAGAACCUAAUAUGAUAAUUACAUAAUAGAACAAGAGAGUGAAGGAGUACUGAGUAGGAUUUUACAACAUUAAAAGUUUAACGAAAUUUAUCAUAUCACCUUUGAAAUAUCACUCUAUUUUGGUAUCAGAGCCUUAGUCCUAAAAGACCUUAUAUGAAAAAAGAUUAUUAUUUUAGAAAAACCUUUGCUUACCAUAGGACUUUGUUUUAUAAUAGACAACAUUUAAAAAUAGUUAAAUUAUAAAAAAAAUUCUUAGAAAGUCAUUUAUUUACAUUAAAAUUAAGAUUAUCUUUAACUUAUACAUAUAAAAAUUCCGUAAAGACACUUAGAGAAACUCUUAGACAAUCUCAACAACAAAUUAGUGAAGAAAUAAAUUAGGUAGAGUUUGAAAUAAAAGAAGUAAUAGAAAGAAUUAAAAUAAUUAAAAAUAAUCCUUAUUAUUAUAAUACUAUAGGAUAAUAUAUGAGAAGACCAUAUAAAAAUACUAGACAAUAUAAAAAGGUUAAAAAAUAAUUACAGGAGUUAUAUGUAAAAGCAGAUAUAUUACUUAAAGACCUAAAAACUACAGGCUUUAAAAAAGAAAUAACUAAUAAGUUAGAUUAUAUAUUUUUCCUAGCUAGAAUUUUAGAACAAAAAUUAAUAAAACAUUUUAUAUCAAGAAAUAUUUCAAUAAAAAAUACUUUAUGAGAAAACAUCCAUUUGCCUGGAGUAUAAGAUUUAAUAAUUGGAUAAGAUAUAGAGAUAUAGAAGCAAAGAAAAGAUUACAAAGAAUAAAAAAAGCAAUAGAAGCAUAUAUAUAUAUAUAUAUAUAUACGAAAAAGAAUUUUUUAUACCACAAAAUAUUCAUGUUGGAAGAAAUAACGACGAAUAUAUAGACGGUUUAAAGUGGGAAUUACAAGGACUUGAGAAAACUAUAGAUAACUAUUCUGAAAGAAUAAAUUUUUUAUUACGAAUGGUAUAAACCAACUACUUUAGGAUAAAAUAACAAUAGUAAAAAUAGCUUCAUUAAAAAGCAUAGAAUACUUAGACUUACAGAUCCAUAUAGAAAAAAGAUUUCAAAGAGUAAAACCAGACAAUAUAAUUAAGUGUAACUUUGAAAACGGAAAUCAUUGCUUACAUACAGAAGACGCUCAAUCUAAUACUUUAAUAGAUUUAAUAAUCAGCCUCAGUGAAAAAAAAGAGAGAAUCAAAUAACUAAAUUAUAAAAAUAUUAAGUGAACAAGAAGAAACACAAAAUAAACAAAAAUAACUUUUUAGUAAGAUAGAAAAUAACUUAGACUACCUUAAGGAACAAGGAAUAGAUUUAAACAAAAAAUUGAACGAGUUAAAAAAUAAAUCUAAAGAAGAAAUUAGUAAUACAUUAAUAAUAAAAAUACAAGAAAUAAAGACAGAAUUACCAUCAAUAAAAGAGAUAGUUCUUUCAAGAUAGAUUUAGUAGAAUCAGAAACACAUAGAGAAGCAAUAAAACUAAUAGAAAAAAGAAUAGUCCUCCCAUUAGACUAUAAAGAAUUUAAUCCACCUUCAAAAUCAGAUCAAAUUAUUAUACAACAGAAUAAUAUAAUAAUAGCACUUUUAUUACAACUAAAUAAUAAGAUAGAUAAAAACAUUAAAGAAAAAUUAGAAAGUAAGAAUAUAGAUACAACCGGAAUAGAAGAAUUAAUAGAAAAAUUAAAUAAAAUGGAAAUUACUCCUCAAAAAGAAAAAAUAAUUAAAAAACAGAAAAAAGGACAUUUUUUCAACUAGAUCAAGAAAAGAAAGACCAAGACCAAGUUACUCUCAGAACAUGAUAAGUAAUAAUUUUCUAUCAAGAAUAUUAAAUAAAAAGACAAAAGAAGAAAAUAAUCAACAACUAGAAGAAAUAAUAGACACAGAUAAUGAUAUACAAAUCUUUCAACAAAAUCAAUUAAAUUUAUUAAAUCCAAAAGUUCUAUAUAAUACAAACUCUAAAUCUCAACUAUAUAGACAUUAUAGAGAGGAACAAUUAUCAGUAUUAGGAAAAACCUCUGUAUCUCUACCACUUAUAAAAUCUGAAUCUGUAAAAGAAAUAAAAUAUGUUAAAAAAGACUUAAUGCAUAUAGGAUUAAUAGUUAUAGGAAUUAAAGGAUUAACUAGAAAAAACUUAGGAACAAAGACAUUAAUUAUAAUAUAUGAUAAUAGAUGGUCAGACAUAAAAAAGGCAAUUAUAGGAUUAACAGAAGUAGAUAUGACUAAUAAUAGAGGAAUUUUCUAUAUAAGUCCAGAUUUUAUGAUGAAUUUAAAUGAAUUUGGAAACCAAAUAAGAAUAGGAAUACAAACUAAAGGAUACGAAGAAAUGCAUACUGUAAAGAAUUUAUUAAUGUGUGUAAGAUUUUUAGGAAAAAUGACAGAUAAUAGUAAUACUAGAUUUAAAUUAAAAAUAAAAGAUGUAGUAGAAGUAAUGGGAAAUAAAGGGAUAAAACUAAUAAAACCUAUAAAAAUAAGUCCGGAAGAAUAUGCAGGAUUAGAAUGGAAAUUAGGAGAUUUUAAAGAAAAAGAAGCAUUAAUAUCAGAUGCUCAUUUAAUAUAUACAAAUUCCAAGGGGAACCUUCAAUUAGAUUUACAGAUUAUAACUAUGAAGCUCAAAAAGACUUUGAAGAAGAAAGCGUUGUAGAAGAAAUGCCUUUAGAAGGAAUGAAUAUAGAAAUAAUAUUAGAAGAAGAUUUUGCGUAGAUUUAGCUAUAGAAAAAGCUAAAGAAAUAAGUAAAGAUAAUAAGAAUAGACUAUUUACAUGUAAAGGAUGUAAAUUAAAAGACUUAAAUUUAGAACAAACAAUAUCUCAUUUUAAAAUAUGUAAACAAAGAAAUGAUAACGAAGGAUAUAGAUUAGAAAAAAGUUUACAAGAUAAGUUAGAAAAAAGUAAUAACAUAAUGACACAAAUACAAGACAAUGAUAGUGAAAUAUCUGAGUUAGAAUCUAUACUAAGUCAAAAGGAAUUAAUGGAAACAACAAGUUCUAGUAGCCCAUUCUAAAAAACAAAUGAACAGGGAUAUAUUGCAGACAAUAGUACAGGAAAUAUACCAUGUAAAAGAGUAUACAGACAAGGAGAUACCCAAAUAACAGAAGUUAAACCUAUGGAAAAAAGAAUGCCUAUAGAAGAACCAAUAAUACUCCAAGAAGGAGGAAGUAAAGGAAAAAUUCUAAAUAUAGCAGCACAUGAUCCACAAAGAUGGAAUUCAGUAAUAGACUUAUGGAAAGGAAUAGUAGUAGCAGACUUUAUAAAAAAUUAUACAGAAACUGAUGCUGAAACUAUGUAUAAAUACUUAGAGACAUUCUUAGGAGAAUCAACUAAAGCUCUAUGGGAAGCUUAUAAAGUAGAAUUCCCAUCAGAAUUUCAGUAUUUAGCAUCUUUAGGACCAAACCCAUAUAAUUUUACAAAUAAAAUACAUACAUUAAUAACAAGAGAAGACCCAAAUAGUGGAUUAGUAGCUCUACAAUGAAAUGCAGUAAUAAAAUUAGAACAAUUAAGUAUAAGUAAUUGGUAUUAUAUAAAAAAAAAAUUUAAAUAAUUAUUUCUAUUAUUGUACAAUUAGUGGAAAUGCCUUUGACCAAGACUUAGGUAAAAAAUUAUUUAACAAACUACCAGGAGCCUUAGGAAGAGAAAUAGAAGAAAGAUGGAUUAAAAGAGAAGGAGUAGCACAAAACCCUCAAGCUAAAUGGUCAAUAGGACAUAGAAUACAACAUAUUAUGGAAAUAUUACAAGAAAAAUGUACUAAUUUACAAAUACAAAAACAAUUAAAGCAGAAUGAAAUGAAUUUCUGUAAAGACAUAAUAUAUACAACCCAAAAUUAUGAUAAAAGUCAAUAUAAAAAGAAAAAGUAUAAGAAGUAUAACCCACAAAAUAAUAAGAGUUAUAAUAAAAAAGGAUAUUUUCUUAGAAAAUCUUCAGCCAGAAAACCAUAUUUGAAUAGAGAUAGACAUGUUAGAAAAUAUAGAACAUAUAGAAAUUACAAAAACAAAUUAGAAUAUUUUACAUGUGGAAGUAUAGAACAUUUAGCAAAUACUUGUCCUAAAAGAUAUAAUGCUAAGACUAGAAACGCUCAAUUAGUAGAAGAAUUCAAUGAAGCAUUAUUAAAUGUAGAUGAAUAUAUGUCAGAUAAUGAAAGUAUUUAUUCUAUAGUAAGUAUUGAUAUAGAUGAAAGUCACAAAGAAGAAGACUCUUCUAAUUCAGAAGGAGAAGAAUUAAUUAAUGGAAUAGGAAUAGAAAACUUAGACAUAGAUGACUUAAAAAUAAAUUUUAUGAAUAUAAUAGAAUGUGAACAUAAUUUUGAAAAAGAUACAGGAUUAGAUAGUAAUCCAUGUAAUUGGUGUAAAUGGUAUCCAAGUAAGUACAAAAGAGCUAAAUGUAAUAAAUGUUUUAUAGAAGGAUGUAUAAGCUGUAUAGAGACACAAUUAGGAAUAAUAACUCAGAAAAAGAAGGAGCUACACACAAAUGAACCGUUAAUAAAUUUAAAAGUAUUAGUAUUAGAAGCAAAAGUUAAGAAUUAGAAGAAAGAAUAGUAAGAUUAGAAAAAGGAAAGAAUGUUGAAAAAGAGCUACAACUAGACAAUCAAGAAUUAAUGAAUGAAGAAUCUAAUACUUUGAUAUGUAAUGAAGAUAAAGAUAUAAAUACUGUUAAAAUAUUAGAAAAACUCAAAAUUGGAAAAUAUGAGAUAGAGACAUUAGCAUUAAUAGAUUCAGGAUGUACUAAAAGUAUUUUAAAUAAAAAAAUUGUACCUCUAGAACUAAUAAAAACUUUAGAAAAACCACUUGCAGCUAUGCAAAUGGAUGAAACACAUAAUAUAUACAGAUAUUAUAUAGAUAAAGCUCAAAUAAGCUUCAUAAAUACUUGUUCAGAAUUCGAUAAACCUACCUAUAAGAUGGAUAAAAUAUGGGUAAGAGAUUUAGGUAUUAGAAUAGAUUUUGUGUUAGGACUAGACUUUAUACUACAUAAUAAAGGAGGAAUUUUAAUAACUAAAGAUGGGAUACUUUUCAUGAAAAAUACUACUUAUACCUCAGUCUUAACUAAGAAAAUUGACACUAAAGUAAGACAUAAAGAAAAAUGUUGCGACAAUUGUGAAAAUAAUAUACAAUGUACUAAAAUGGAAUGUGAUACAUUACAUGAAAGUAUACUAGAAAUAGAUGAAGAAGAUGAGACAGUUAAUAAAAACUAUGUUCUAAUAGAAAUGGAAACAGAAUUAUACAAUUUUAAGACAGGAAUUCAGCAAAUAGGACAAAUAAAAAAUCAACAGGAUCUUGAUAAUAUAGUAAAAAUAUUAGAUCAAAUAGAAAUAAUAGGAGAAAAACCUUUAAAACAUUAGGAGAAUAAUCAAAUAAUAUGCAAGCUAGACAUAAUAAACCCAGAAUAUAUAAUAAAAACAGCCUCAACAGAAGCUACAAAUCAAGAUCAAGAAGACUUUAAAAUACAAAUUAAAGAAUUGCUAGAAUUAGGAGUAAUAAGGAGAUCCACGUCAAAACAUAGAUCUGCAGCAUUUAUGGUAAGAAAUCAUAGUGAAAUAGUUAGAGGAAAAGCUAGAAUGAUUAUAAACAAUAAAAGACUAAAUGACAAUACUAGAACUGAUGGUUAUAAAUUACCAGACAAAACAGAACUAAUAAAUAGAAUUCAAGGAAAAACAGUUUUUAGUAAAUUUGAUUGUAAAUCAGGAUAUUGGCAGAUAAAAAUGCACCCAUAUAGCAUAGAAUGAACAACUUUCACCUGUCCUGAAGGACAUUUUGAAUGGUUAGUUAUGCCAUUCGGGUUAAAAACAGCACCUUCAAUAUUUCAAAGAAAAAUGGAUCAAUAUUUGGAGAAUAUAAAAAAUUUGUAUUAGUAUAUGUAGAUGAUAUUCUAGUGUUUAGUAAAAACAUAAAAGAACAUUUAGGACAUUUACAAACAGUUUUUAGAUUAUUUGUUAAUAAUGGAAUAAUAAUUAGCAAAAAGAAAAUAGAAUUAUGUAAAAACUAUAUAAAUUUUUUAGGAAUAACCUUAGGAGAAGGAAAAGUUAAACUACAACCUCAUAUAGCUAAAAAAGCUCUAGAUAUGCCAGAUAAAUUAAAUAAUUUAAAAGAUUUACAAAAAUUUCUAGGAAUAGUUAAUUACGCAAGACCUUUUAUUAAAGAUUUAGGAAAAAUAGCAGGACCAUUAUACUCUAAGACAGGAAAUAAGGGACAAAGAAAUUUUAAUAUUGAAGACAUAAAAUUAGUACAAAAAAUAAAAGAAAAAAUAAAAAAUAUUCCUGACCUAAAUAUGCCAUUGGAAUCAGACUACUUAAUAAUAGAGACAGACGGAAGUUUUGAAGGAUGGGGUGCAGUACUAAAAUCAAGACCACAUAAAUAUAGUUCUAAACAAGAAGAAAAAAUAUGUGCUUAUCAGAGUGAAAAAUUCAAAGAGAAGGGUAAUAAAGCUAGUAUAGAUGUUGAAAUUUUAGCUGUAAUAUAUGGUUUAAAUAGUUUUAGAAUUUAUAUUUUAAACAAACCAGAAAUAUUAAUAGAACAGAUUGUGAGGCUAUAGUAAAAUUUCAUCAAAAAAUUAAUGAUAAAACUAGUAGUAGAAGAAGAUGGUUAAAUUUUUUAGACACAAUAUCAAUUUAUCAUUCUAUAAUUUUUGAGCAUAUAAAAGGGAAUGAUAAUAGUAUUGCAGAUCAACUAAGUAUAUUACUAAUCAAAGUUUAAAUUUUACAGAAUGAAACCUCUACUAUUAGACAAAGGUAAAAAGGUUCAACCUUCAGCCUCAGGUUUGACAGACUCUUAUAAACAUGCAAUGUUAGCAAAUUUGCAUUUUAAGCCUCUAGAUAAAAUAGAUGAUGUUAGAAUAGAAAGAUUGCAGUUUGGACAACAAAAUUUAAUAGCUUACGAGCCGUCCAACCUGACAUUCAGACAUUUAUCUAACUGUCAACUAGACAAACAGCAAAAAUGCCUCAUAGAUAAUAUAUGGAUAGCUCAUAAUAAAAAAGACACUAAAUAUGUAAUUGCAGUUUUAAAUGUGUUAGGAUAUUAUUUUACUAAUAAAAAUAAAGAAAAUAGUUUUAAAUAUUAUGUAGUAAUUCAUGGUAAAACUAAUGGAGUUUUUCAGACAUGGACAGAAGUUUUAGACUCUAUUAAAAAUUUUCAAAAACCUCUUUUUAAAAGUUUUAAUGAUUUUACAGAAGCCUUAGACUAUGUUAGAGGAAUAUUAGGACCAAAUUAUUAUAUCUCUCCAGCCCUUAGACAAAAUCCAGAUAAAACUCCACAAUACAAUAUCCAAAAAGACAAAGAUAAAAUAAUAUUUUGUGACCAUUGCUCAUCAAUGACUGAAGCAUUCAAAAGGCUAAACUCGAGAAAUGAAGCCUUAAUGCAAGAAAAUGUCAAGCUCGGAGAAAAACUCCAAAAAAUGGAAAGCAAAUGUAAACAAGAUGUACAAACUCAGACAAAUAAAAAGAGUUUUCCAUCCCAUAUAAAAAUGGAUGAGAUGGGUGUGCAUUCCCCACUGAAUGCUAAGAAAUCCACUGUAUCGGAUGAAGAUACAGCUAGUCCGGCUCAAACGGUAGCCGGUAAAGACAUCUCAAACCCGUUGAUGGCUGUCACUUUGCCAAAAAGUGAAAAAGAUGAAGGGUCAUCUUCUAGAAGAAGGUUACCACUUUCAUUUAACCAGACUAUUAGACAAAAAAUUAAAAAAGCUCAAAAAAAUAAAGAUUUAGAAUCCCUUAUAACCCAAACAGUAGAAAAAUUACUCAGACAAAAGCAAGAAAAAGAUAAACAUAUAAAUCCAAUCCCAAUACAAAGCCCAAGACAAGACUCUAUUUCAAGCUCAAACAACUCAGACAAUAUUUCAGACUCAAUGCAAUUUGCUCAAGACCCAAAUGAUGAUGACUCCGAAAUGAGUUUUGAUUCAAUUGCAUUACAUAAUUUAGACACAUAAAAAAAUGAAAUAAUAUAUAUAUAUAUAUAUAUAUAUAUAUAUAUAUAUAUAUAUAUAUUAUUAAGUUUUAAAGAGGAAUGCCUCUUUUGUCAAAAAGUGUGAGUCCCACUUUACUCACUACCACACAUGUGGAAAAAUUGUUGGGACGCGUCUUUACUUUAAAUAAUGUUCAGGAAAGAGAUAAGAAUUGACGGACAGAUAUCAGAUUACGAGGACAAUAAUGCAAGAAAAGGAACAUUAUUUCACGUGACGAUGAGGCCCAGAUGUGUACCCAGCUGAGAUGAUAAGAUUCUUUUUCAAUUUGAAAUCCGAAGUUUGAAGUUCAAAGACCUCUAUAAAAGCAAGUAUCAUCAAGACAAGAAAUAGGAAAAAGCGAAAAAAGGCUAAGACAACCGCAAAAAACACUCUCUCAAAAAUCCUCUAGAAAAUCCCCUUUCUUUAAAAUUAUUUUAAAAAGAUUGUAGUAAAGUUUUCAGUUUAUUAUUUUAAAGUUUGUUUUUAAGUAAAAGCUUGGAAGCUUUUCGGAUUUUCCGAAAGGGAAACUUCACUCUAUUCUAAAUAAUGUAAGUUUUCAUAUUUAAGUUUCUUGUAAACUUCCCAUAUAUGUAAAUUAUGUGUGUUUGUAAAAUAUUAAUCUUGUAAAUUCAUGUAAAUUUAUGAAUAUCAUCAUGAAUCUAUAUUACUUAGUAUAUGGUUAGUCUGUUAGCUUCUUAUUUGUAUUGAUGGAUUAACCUGUAAAUUCCUAGGACAUUGUCAGGUUAAAUGUUCUGAGAAAGGAACUAUAAAUAACCAAAUCCGGGGUGUGGUUAAAGAAGAUUACUUUUAAGAACAAAGGCUAAGAGAAAGAGAUGAACAGUAAUAAUAGAUUCAUGAAUGGACAGAGUCUAUAAAAAAAAAGAAAAAAGGGGGAAGUUAAAACUAGAACCUAAUAUGAUAAUUACACAAUAGAACAAGAGAGUGAAGGAGUACUGAGUGGGAAAAAAAAAGGGGAAGUUAAAACUAGAACCUAAUAUGAUAAUUACAUAAUAGAAAAAGAGAGUGAAGGAGUACUGAGUAGGAUUUUACAACAUUAAAAGUUUAAUGAAAUUUAUCAUAUCACCUCUAUUUUGUAUUUGAAAUAUCACCUUUUUCAGACAUGGAUAGAAGUUUUAGACUCUAUUAAAAAUUUUCAAAAACCUCUUUUUAAAGGUUUUAAUGAUUUUGCAGAAGCCUUAGACUAUGCUAGAGGAAUAUUAGGACCAAAUUAUUAUAUCUCUCCAGCCCUUAGACAAAAUCCAGAUAAAAUCCCACAAUACAAUAUCCAAAAAGACACAGAUAAAAUAAUAUUUUGUGACCAUUGCUCAUCAAUGAUUGAAGCAUUCAAAAGGCUAAACUCGAGAAAUGAAGCCUUAAUGCAAGAAAAUGUCAAUAAUUAUUAAAUAAUAAUAAUAAUAAUAAUAAUAAUAAUAAUAAUAAUAAUUUAAAGAAAGAAAAAAUAACAUUUGAAUAAGGAUAGAGAUCUAAAACAAUUAGAGAUAAAAGAAUUGUGAUCUGCUUAUUCAAUUAUAAAAGUGUAGGAUUUACAAGAUAUUUAUACAAGUAAUAGAGUCCUAAUUAUCUACUGAUUUCAAGCUAAUUACCAUUAGCCAUAAUGAGAGAUCCCUGAUUUAGUAUCGAUAAAUAAGGUAUAAUCAACACCCUCCCUCAAACUAAUGUUGUGUAUCACAAAACAUGAGUUUGGAUAGCAAAUAUUUGUGUCUACUUCUUGAUAUAACCUUUGUAAAUAGUCAGCCAGUUGAUCAUUAGAGGAUAUAUACUUCAGGCUAAUACUCUGAUCUUCAACCAGUUCUCUAAUGUAGUGACAAUCUACAUCGAUGUGCUUGGUGUUUUCAUGAUGAACGGGGUUUGUCGCGAUUCUUAUUGCACUAGUGUUGUCUCCGUAUAAUGUGAUUGAUACUUUCAUUUCGAUGCCAAGUUCUGAUAGCAACCUCCGCAGCCAAAUGAUUUCAGAGCAUGCAGCAAACAUACUUCUAUAUUCUGCCUCUGUGGAUGACUUUGAUUUUUGAGAUUGUUUCUUGCACUUCCAAGAAAUCAUGCACGAUCCAAGCAUCAUGCACCAGCCUGUAGUGGAUCGUCUUGAAUUAGGGCAUCCUGCCCAAUUUGCGUCAGCGUAUCCCACCAUGUCCAACGAUGAUGAUGAUGGGAAUAAGAGACUCCGAUUCACAGUACAUUUUAUGUAUCUAAUAACCCCGAGCAAAGCAGUGUAGUGCAUCUUGUAAGGCUCGGUAAUAAAUUGGCUUAACACCUGUACUGUAUAAAAGAUGUUAGGACGACUCAUAGUAAAAAAUAUAUAAGUGAUCUAACUAGACGUCUAUACAAGGUCUGAUAUCUGGAAAGCUUUCCUUUCUCCUUUUUAUAUUUCGUAUUCGCUUCCACUAGAGUAUGAACCUUCUUACGAUCAAUAAGAUUGGCUAAUCGAACGAGAUCUUCUGCAUACUUUUGUUGACUUAAUCGUAUGCCUUCCUUUCCAUAACUUACCUCCAAACCCAAAAAAUAUGUUAGCUUCCCCAAGUCCUUCAUUUUGAACGAGGAGUGUAACAAAUCUUUCAAAUGAGAGAUUCCAACUUCGUCGUUUCCUGUGGUAAUCAUGUCAUCCACAUAAAGAAGGAGAAUAGUAAUACCUGAGGUAGUCAGAAUUUUUCAAACCAAGAGCGAAGAGCCUGCUUUAAUCCAUAGAGAGAUUUUUUAAGACGACACACCUGAUUUAGUUUAAUAUAUUCAUAACUUGGUAGUGGAUUCAUGUAGACCACUUCUUGCAAGUUUCCAUGCAGGAAGGCAUUCUUGAUGUCCAGUUGAUGUAACUUCCAACCUUUGAUUGAUGCUAAGGCAAGCAAUAUAUGUACGGUCAUUAUCUUAGCUACUGUAGCAAAUGUUUCAUCAGAGUCGAUUCCAUAUUCCUCCUUGUAUCCUUGAUCUACUAAUCUUGAUUUGUAUCGAUCUAUGGAACCAUCAUCUUUCAUCUUGAUUGAGUACACCCAUCUACUUCCAAUAACUAUUGCAUUUGUUGGUCUAUCCACCAUAUCCUAUGUAUCAUUCUCCUCAAGGGCAACUAAUUCUUCAUGCAUUGCAUCCUCCAAACAUUUCUCACCACUAGCCUGCAUGUAAGAGUUCAGUACAACUAUAGAAUUCAAGGUUGUUAGUAAGGCAUAAGAUCGACCACGUUUACCUGUUGAGUACCCAUAUCGUCGUUCUGGAGGGGAGCAUGCCGAGAUGAUCGUCUAAUUGGAUCAAUGUUAUUUUGACGAGUGGGAGAAGGUGAUUGUUUGUAUGUGGGUGAGGUAAAAAUUUAGUAUUAGCCGAAGUCGUAUCAGUAUCAAAAAUAAAAAAGAUCAAAGUUAUAAGUGGUACCUGAUUUGGUAGAGAGAAUGGUCAACGAAGGACCAGCAGGAAGGUGGCUAUGGCAAGCAACAUCAUGAGAAGAAAAUUUAUUCAAGAAAGACAGUAGAGAUUUGUGAGUCUUUGUUAGUAUAAAUACAAAAAUUCUCAAAGAAGAUAACAUGUCGUGAGAUUCAUAAGAACGACGUGUUGAAUCAUAACAUAAAUACCCUUUUGAAUAUCAUUGUAUUCUAAGAAAACACAUUUAAUGGCUUUGGAAGAUAAUUUAUGACGUUCAUGAUCCGGAAGAAGAACAAAGCACACACAACCAAAUACUUUAAGAUGUGAAUAGUCCGACAAUUUUUUGAAAAUAAUAAAAUAAGGACAAUUUUGUUUCAUUAUCGAGGAUGAUUGUGUAUUUAUGAGAUAAAUAGAUGUUUGGAUUGCUUCAACCCAAAAUAUUUUUGGAACAUUUGAAGUAUCAAGAAGGGCUAAGGCAGUUACAACAACAUGUCUAUUCUUACGUUCCACCACACCAUUUUGUUCCGGUGUAUACGGACAAGAAUGCUGAUGAAUUAUGCCUUUUUCCUAAAAAAAAGAUAGUUAGGUUUGUAUUUACAUAUUCCCUUCCUGAAUCUGAACGAAAAAUCUUGAUCUUUUUCUCAAAUUGGGUUUCUAUAAGGUUAUAAAACUUUUUUACAAUAUUUGGUGCCUUUUUUGUUUUUCAAGAAAAAAAUCCAUGUAUAGCGAGAUACUUGGGCCUGAGUUUUUCCCUGUUAAGAAUACUAGCACGCAGAUGCUCGAACUCGGGCCUGAGUUUCAUUAGAAAUUGAAAUGUCCUUGUCCUCUUCAUCGUAGUCAUGAAAUCCUUCAAUCCAGCCGUAGGGAUAGAGGUGGCAAAACCCUGAUCUUGUUCUGCCCAUAAUGUGAGUAAUACAGAAUAAAACAACGAACAUUUUUUUUCUCACCUUGUAUAGAUUCUGCAAGUAGUCUUUACAAUUCAAAUUCUUGAGCCAAAUUUUGUUGGUUACCAAGGGUAUGUAGAUGACUCUACAUUUCUGAUGCUUCCUAAAAAAAUGUCAGUUUCAUGGCUAUAUUGACGGAGACAGAAUUGACAAGCCAGGUGAUAAUUUUUCCAUUGUCAGCCUCCCAAACCUCUUUUUCUUUGUCUUCAGUAGGGACAACCUUUGAAGCCAUCCAGAAUACCAAGGAGAUCUUUGCCUCUAAUGAAGGCUUUGAAAUGGAACUUCCAAAUCGAAUAGUUAUGCCCAUCAAAUUAUGUUGACAAGGUAUCUCGUGAAUCCAUCUAGAGAAAAGAAAAAAAAACUGUGUCGUGAGGAUCUGAAGAAAAGAAAGGCUCUUGAUACCAAGUUGAAUAACGAUAGAGAUCCAAAACAAUUAGACAUAAAAGAAUUGUAAUUUGCUUAUUCGAUUAUAAAAGUGUAGGAUUUACAAGAUAUUUAUACAAGUAAUAGAGUCCUAAUUAUCUACUGAUUUCAAGCUAAUGACCAUUAGCCAUACUGGGAUAUCCCUGAUUUGGGGGAGAUCCCUGAUUUAGUGUCGAUAAAUAAGGUAUAAUCAACAACAACAACAACAAUGAUAGAAAUAAUCUAUAUCUAAAUUAUAUCUAUACCUGUAUAUUUCUUAUAUUUAAAAUUAACUUCUACUUAGAUAAACUCAAAUUAUUAACACACAUUUUAAAGUGUAAUAUUGAAUAUUGGAAAAUUAAAUAUUAAAUUAAAUUUUCAUGUUCAAUAAAGGAACAAGGAAGAGAGAUGAAAAAAAGGCAUUUAAAAUAAUAAGAUUCAAAAUAAGAUAAACCAACUACACCUUAAGUAACGUUAAAAUCUAAAAAUAAUUCUUACCGGUUUUGAGUUGUGCCAUUAUCUUAAUCAGUUGAGAUUUUAAAUUUAAAACUGAAUAUAACUUCUAUUUAGAGUGUUAUGGUCCGUCUCGUACAAAAAUUAAUAAAGCAAGGAUUAGUUAUGGAGGGAUUGAUAAUAUAGGGAUUAGUAGCGCAUACUGCAGAGUUUAUUUUUAUCAAGUGUUUGGUUCAUUAUUUCACACCUCAUCUUGUAUUUGGAUUAAAACUAUAUAAAAAGUCUCUUUCCAAAUAUAGCCUUGAAUUAUUAGGUAAUUAGGUCGGAGUAGAUAAUUACCGGAUAAAAUUAUUUUUUUAUGGCCUUCUAACUAGCUAUGAGAAGAACAAUUUUGUUGUUAUCAUGCUUGCUAUUUUUUUCACUUGAAUUAUUUGAGGAUAAAUAAUUGUCAUCUUAAUAAAUUGAUCACUCACAAAAUGUCAUUUUUCAAUUUAAAAAAAUCAAAAAGACAGUCAACAAUGGUAAAAUUAAAAAUAUCAUCUUCAUUUUACACAUAGAAAUCAAAAGUUGUAGUUUUAACAUGUAUGUAUGUUUUAAAUUGUUCAAAAUACAAAUAAUUAAAAUAUUUAACAAAUAAAUAUAUCUAACCUAAUUAGUAGUAAUAUUUAAAUUGUCACACAAUUAUUGCAUCGUUAUGUAAUAAAAAUAAAAUAUCUACUCUAAUUAAAUAGGAGUAAUAUUUUAAUUAUCACACAAUUACAACAGCUUAUAUUCAAUGUCUUGGAAUCACUAGCUUUUUCAUCUUUUUAAAAUUGUCCUCUAUUCAAUAUUUUGGUUUUGUUUCAAUUUUCUAAAAUUAAUUGUGAAACAUUAAUGUGAAGCUCAUAAAUAUGUCAAGCCCUUUACUAUAUAAUUAUAUGCAUUUAUACCAUUAGUUUUAAAUUUGCCAAUUCUUUUAAUUUUCAUCUGUUAGAAUACUUUUCAUGUGAAAGACUUUUGAAAAACUUGAAGAACAUAUCUUGACUUGAUUUUUAACUUCUUGACUUGACUUUUUAAUUUCUUGACUUGACUAUUGACUUUACUUAAAUAUAAUUAUGAAUUCAAGCAUCAUGAUUUGUGAUAGGAAAGAUAUCAGGAUAUUCAGGAAUAAAUUUAUAUAGAAAGAACAAGGUCCUUGAAGAAUCUUGGAUAAAAACAUGAAUAGAAACCUUGAAACUCUCGCUUGAAGGUAGAUGAUCAAGAAAACCUUUCUUGAGAUUCUUGAAUUAGUUUCUUAAAAUCUCUAUGGUCAAGAAUUAUGAUUUUCAUUAGUAAAGAUGAAAAACUGGUCGUUUUGAACCUUUUAUUAGUCAAAAAUUCGUUUAGGCUUCUCUUGGAGGUAAAAAAACAAAAGCAACCCUUUUUUAAUGUUUUUCCAUUGGCUAAUUCGUAACAACACUGUAUAGGUUACUAAAAUAGUCAUAACUUUUUUCCUAAAAAUUGAAUUGACAAAAAAUUUGUGGCGUUGGAAAGUAAAUUCAAUUACCUUUAAUUGGAUAGGUUAUGACUCACAUAAAUCCUUAUAUUCUAAGAGAUAUGGUCAUCUAAAGUUGACCCAAGUAGAAUCUUAACAUCAAAACUUAAUCGAUAAGUAAACUUCAAGAACACUUAUCAAGAACUCAUCAAGAACUUAAAUCCUUAAUUUUCCAAAACAAAAUUACGUCGAAAAUAACAUGUUUGGCGCGUGGGUGAACAAAGACAACACUAUGGAAGCUCACAUACCUCAUAGGGAUCACCCCUUGACGAAAUCCACAAGCGAUGCUUGAACGUUUUUAACGAAUCUUGAACUUUCUUUCCUUUUCUCCUCUUUUCUUCUCUCUCCAAGCUCUAGCGUGAAAUUCACUUUUCAAAACUGAUUAAAAUUUAAUUUACCCCAAUUGAACUCCUAAAAAUAAAUUAAUUAUGUUGGGUAAGAAAAGACCAAACUAUCCUUCUAAAAUCAGGUUUUCAGACUUUUCUUAUUUCAACAACCCAACUUCUGAUGUCAUAACUCACUCAUAUGAACUCAGAAUCACGCAAAGUUGGUUGUGUUGGAAAGAUUAUACCAAGAGAUUUUCAACCAUAUCUGGAAGUAUAUCUAACUCAUCCUGAGCUAGAAGUUAUGGCCGUUUGAAGUUGAUCAAAACUCAACUUUUCCUAACUUAACCAAAUUUCCAAUUUUUUUUGUUACCUCCAAAAAUAUCUAUUUCUACGUCUUAGUUUCUUCCCGACUAUCUCGAAUUGCGAGAUGUUACAUGAACAUUCUCCCACAUAAAUAUUACAAUAUCAUUUUUGAUAAAUAUAAUUUUAAAACUGUCAAUACAUUAAUAUUUACGAAAGUGUUUAUCAAUUAACCGCUUGGGUAUGUAUACUAAUAUUCAAUAAUAAGAGAAUAGAAAUAAUGAAAGGGCAAUAGAAAAAAAAGGUAUAUAUAGGAAUAUAAUGUGCAUUCAUAUUAAUAGUCAAAAUAUAAAUGACGCAACAAAAUAAAUAAUUACAAAAGUGUAAUACCUUGAAUAUUUGAAGAUAAGGCCCAAAUCAUUUUUCAUUUGCAUUUAAGUUCAUAUCAUGUGAUUCUUAAAUUGUUCUUAAGUGCUAGAAUGUUAUGUUCAGAGUUUUAUCCGUAGUCUCUUGAAAUCUAAAUUCAAUUGUGUUCUUAUUCUAAAUAUCGAUUCCCUAACCGUUGAGAUUUUGAAUUCUAUUAUGCAUAUUUAAUUUUGAUAUUCGAUGUUGAAAUUUUGUUUUACAUGAACCCAAUUGUUGAUAAAGGUCAUGUUCGUAGAGAUUUUUAUAUGAAAUUUAUGAUACAUUGAUUUUGGACCGAAAGGUGAGUUCAGAAGUAUAGACUUUAAAUUCAUGUUUUGAAAGGAGCUUUUAUAGAAAGAAUAAAAUCAUUUCAUAUGUAAUAUUUGACGGUUGAGAAAGAGAAAGAGUAUACUUGAUUUUUUAAAUAGCACUUCAGUAUAAGUGAAAUUCGAGUAAAGAAAGUUCUUUAAGAAUAUUGAUAUUGAUUAUUUUGGGAUUAGUAUCAAGCACCAAGUAGAGUAUUUCAUGACUAAAAGUAUACCCCAUACUUGACAUGUCGUAUAAAACCCCAAUAGACCCUAAAAAGUUAUCUGAAAUACAUCCAACACAAUAUAAUACAAAAAAGUAGAAAGUCUCAUAUUUUAAGAGCUUGACGUAAAAGUGAAAGUCGAACAUAGUCUCUAGACAAGCCCAUCUAAUACAUCAAAAGAAGUGGUUGGGACGUGACCCAUAAAACAUGUACAAUGUCAGAAACUAAAAACAUAAGAAAAGUAAUUAAAGGUGACAUGGUCCUCACGAGGACUCACCAAAUUUUUAAAUAUCGCAAAUCUGAAUAUAUCCACAAGUGGGAGGAGAAGAAGUGUCACACCCUACAUUAUUAGACAAUAGACACAAAUAUGCAUUAGUACGUUGAAUGUAUUUAGUACGAGUGAUAUGCAUAAACAUGAAAGCAUGAUCAUAAAGGGACAUAAUAGGAAAUGAGGAUAUUCAUAACCAAGAUAAACAAGUAAAACCUUUAAAAAAAAAUCAUAAGACAUGAACAUGGUUAAUCUUAAAAUCACAAGAAAAACUCUAUUAAAACCAUUGAAAGCAACAUAAUUUAUUUUGUGAGACAAAAAUUUUAAACGAUAAUAGUUCAAGUGAACUUUCACAUGGAACCCAAUGUAACUCCCACGUUGAGAAGGAAGAGUAUACUUGCAAAGGUAGGACACUGUAUCAUAUCAUAUGCUAUUUAUGGAUCCACCAGCAAACAACUUAAACUAUGCAGCUAUUAGUAAAGAAUGCACUUCUUGCAAGGCUUGCUGAGCUUCUUCAUGUGACUGACAUCGUAAAAGUAGUCCGUCGAAUGAUUAUCAAUCAAGGGCAUCAUAAUAAUAUACAAUUUUGGAACCUCAAUGGAUUUUUCACUCGGCCAUUUGAUAGCCAUCAUAAUAAUAUACAAUUUUGGAACCUCAAUGGAUUUUACACUCGGCCAUUUGAUAGCCUUGUUCCUGAGCAUACAUAGAAUAGGAUUUCAAUGGGUAUUUAAGACAAUCCUAAGGGGGCACAUAGUUUAGAAGUAGAGAUUGCUACUAGACACUACCCUAGUUGAACUUUUACCUCAAAUUUUUAUCGAUGCUAAGUUAAAUAUCAACAGACUAUUCAAUUUCAUUAACAUAAUCAUCAUACAUGUAAAAGCACAAUUUAGUUACUAAUCCAAUAUUAAAUCAUUAUAGAGUAGCUCCUUAAACUAUGUGUGAGAAAACCUUUUAUCACCACUACCGAUUCUCAAUGUGAGAAAUCAUUUCACUAUUGAAUUGAUGCUUAUAUUGAAAGCAAAAUUUAGAUCAUAAAAUAUAUUUUCAUAACUCAUGCAUAAACUUUCAUAUAUCAUCAGUCACAAAUCCAUAGUUUUAUUCAUAAACUCAUAUCUUCAUAAAUUCAUAGUUAAAAUUUAAAAUAAUGCAUGAGUCUUGUAGAAAUCAAUAUGAAGUCAUGUAUUUUAGUAUACACAUGCAUAGGAAUAUUGAAAUUUAACAAUCAAAUUGACAUCAAUUAAGAAUCGUGAAUAUCACAUGAAACCUAAGCAAUUUAGGAGAAAUUGAAUUGGAAACUUAGAAAUCCUUUGGGACCUAUUGGAUGAAUGAAAUCCUACAUACCUUGAUAAUCAAAUCCCCCAAAAAUGGUGAAUUGAAAAUUUUGAAUUGAAACACUAGCUUUUUCUUUCUUAGCUUGAGAGAGAAUUAAGCAGGAUGAAUUUGGUUGGAAUUUGGGAAUUAGGAGAAUGAAUUUAGAAUGGUUAAUUUUAGAACUUAGAAAUCUUAUAUAGGGAUUAGAAUUAGGAUUAAAACUACAUAUUUUAGGUAUUAAUGCAUAAAAGAAGACCCAAAUAUCCCUAUCUUAAAAACUGUUGAAACACUUCUGUAAGCCUUUCACAGACCAUCAAUCGCUUCACUAUAUGUGAAGGAUAUCUUUAACCAAAAAGGCGACUAGUAUUUCCUAAGUCAAUAUCCACAUAUGGGCCUACCAUAUGUUGACCCUUUACUGUCCGUGAACCUAUUCGUGAAUCAUUGCCUUAAAAUAAUUUUUACAAGUUUAGGGUUCAAGGAUGGUUCACUGACUAUCGUUCACAAUGCUGGGGUUCGAUGAUGGAUUCACUAAUCAUGGACCCUUAUACAACCUUGAACCCUUCCUUAUACCCUUGCUUUAGAAUACUUUUAAGGCUCGGGUUCAAGGAUGGGUUCACUAACUAUUGACCCUUUAACCAUUUUUGAACCCUUUCUUAGAACCUUGACUUGAAAUAUUUUCACAAGGAUUAGUUUCACUAACUAUGGAACCUUUCACCUUAUUUGAUAUCAUACUUUAUUUUCUAGUUAUCCUUCAUAACAGCCACCCUCAACUUAAGCUUUUAUCAUGGGUUAAAGAACACGAUGUCGCAGGAGGAACCAAUGCCAAAGUGAAGGUGAACAACUCUAAUGUAGACAUGUAAGAUAUCUCAAAACGAGUUUAGAUGUAUAGAGCCUCAUAUGUGCCUUAAAAGUUUAAUAAUAAGUUAAUUAAGUGUUUUACAGUAUGCUACUUGAUUUAAAGUGAUUUGUAGGUCAAACGUCCAAGAACGUCUGAUAAAGUUCGAAAGUUAACCUUGAGACGUGCUUGUGUGUUCUAGUGUGUCUUAGUAUGUUUUAAGUGUUGUUUGAUGAUCAAAUUGAUAUGGAAGGUCCUUAAAUUGUAUAUGCUCGUAUUUACGUUCGAAAUUCUGGUCAAGACUCCCCAAGGACCAUCCGAGGGUCCUUGAGGAGGACCUUAAAGCUGCCUAGACUCUGCCUUGGCAGUUUCAAUCUACGCCCAAGAAAGACGCCCGUACCUCAGUCUACGCCCCGUCAAUGGGAGAUGAUUUCAAAAGUAUGAUUAUGAUGAAUUGUUGAUUAUCUACCGUUUUAAGGAUGAUUUUCAAUCCAAUUUCAUGAUGAAACCAUGAACCUCCCAAUUUCUCAAUUUAGCCUAUGAUGUGUCUAUUAUGAUCUUGAAGUUAAGUUGAUUGUAGCAUGUUUCAAUUAUGUUUAAUUGAUUAUAGCUACUUUUUUCUUUAUGAAUUGAUGUUGAAUUAUUGGUAAUUGAUCAAUGGUGAUCAAAUAUUUGAGAAUUGGUAAGAUUUCCCUAUUCCUCUACUUUUCUAUAGAAUGAUAGUUGAAUCGGCCUUGUAUGACAUUGUGUGGUAUGGUCCACCUAUGGUGGCGGUGUAUACUUUAUUGUCAUUCUCUAUGUGCCUUCAAGUCAAGUUAUGAAUUAUGAAGUGUGGUUAUGAUGAUCACACAAUGUGAAGUACUAUGUCUAGUCUCUUAAUCUAGUAUCAUGUGCUAGGUGCUAAUGGUGUCUUCAACGUUUGAAUGAAGUUGUUAGGGUUAGUUUUGGUAUAUGUGCUGCCUAUGAUGAAGUUCCAUACUGAAUUACCCCUAUCUAUUUACCCAUAUAUGUAUGUGUGAUCUUAGCUAAUGUUAGAAGUCUUGGAUGCAAUGUUGAAGGUGUCUUGUCUCCUAUGCUAUAAAGUGAUGUAUGUGCUAUGCAUGAAUGUGUAAUGUGAUCCUUGGAGGGUGGAUGCCUCGUCGAUCUGCUAGGUGCUAUUACAUGAUCAUAUUUUCCAAUGUACACACACCUCAUGCAUUCUUAUAAGUAGUAUAGGUUCAUCGUGUCUAAUGAAAGGAUAAUUCUCAUAUGUACUAAUCUCUACUACUAUGCAUGUAAAGUAUAUGUUCAUAAAGUAUGAUAUGUAUCUUAACUAGGAUGACUUGAUAAGUGUACUAGUGUAAUCAAUGGUAUGGGCCUUUGACUACGAAUUGCACAUGUCUACCUGGAUAGAAUAGUUCCUAGGGUGAUUACUCUAUGUAUAUGAAUAGGAAUGCAUGAAUUAGCUAUGAACAUGAAAGUAUAUGAUAUGAUGAAGUAUGCAUAUGUGUACUGUCUAAAUGUUUUUAUGUGAAAGGCAUCCUCAUGUAAGUACACACACACACACACAGAAUAGAUAUAAUUAAACAUGUACGAUGAUCUAGUAAAGAGGGGGACUCUUGGAAGGUAUUUUCAAGUGUACUCUAAACUAGACUAUGCUUGAAUAUGCUAUGUCCACAUGAAAGGUUUUCUCACAUGAUUUAGGUUGAUGAAAGGAAUAUUCUCAUCUAUAACCUAUGAGCUAAGCAUAUGAGGAGUUAACCUCCUAAAACCAUUUUUAUGUAGUAAAAUUAAGUAAAGAAUUUUCAAUAAAGGAAACUUAGCUUAUUACCGAGUGAACUUUACAAAUGAGAGAAAGGUACCCCUUCCUAAUGAGGAAGGCUUGUUCACCAGUGGUUUCUCAUAAGGUGUUGACUUCCCUUGGAAGAAGAUUCACCUGGGGUUCCACAUGAGGUGUUGACUUCCCUUGGAGGGAGAUUCACCUUAUCUUUCUCAUGUGAUGGAAGUUACAAUACCAAUUGGCAUAAAGAGGGCUUCAAUAUACAUCUCCUAUUUCCAUAACUAUGUUGCCCCUCAAUGGAAGUGAUGUAAUGAGACCUAACUUGGAUAACCUAGAGGUAGUUGCUUAGUAUAUGUGAGGGUAUGGAACUUUACCUAUGCAUUGCACAAGUGGCUUUUGAAGCGAGUUCUAGGAAGGUGUUCAAUAUGUAUAUGUAUAUGUCCUUUAUGCAUGCCAUUAUGAUAUUGAACAAUUGAUAUAAUAAUAUGCAUAGUAUGAGUCUUAUGGUGUCUAUUUGAUGAAGUCUCACUCUAUGUGUGUGAUGUUGGUCUUAUAGUAUAUAUGAUGAAGUCUUACAUUGAAUAUGCAUGAUGUUGAUCUUACUUGUCAUAUGAUGAAGGUCCUACUUAUGUAUGUGGUUGAUUAUGGUUGUAAUGUUGAUGCAUAUAGUAAAUGGUGUGCUUAUAGUCUAUUUGUGAGGUUACUAAGUAUGGGUAAGGUUAUGAGACUUUACAUGUACAUUACACUAGUAAGCUUAAAUUGACAUUACGAGUAAGGUUUUAUGAUAUUGUAGUAAAGUGAAGUCCAAGCAUGUAUUUGUUGAUUAUUGCCUAUUAUGUUGAUUAUUGCCUGUUAUGAUACUAUUGGUAGUUUGGACUUGUAUGAUGUUUUGGAAUGAGUCUCCUAUAUGGAUUUAAAGCAUUUUGAGUCAUGUAUGAAAUAUGUGUCUUAUGAUAUGCUAUGUUUUCAUGAAUGUCUAUGUUUGAGUUAAUGAAGGUUAUAUGAAUAUUAACCUUGGUUUCCUUAAGGUGAUGCUUGAGUGUGGGUAGUGAGAUUGGACACUAUUGAUGCAUUGCAUCAAGUAUUACUAGAGGUUUACUUGGGGGUAAGGGACUUACAAUAAAAGGAAGGUUGUAAAAUAAAAGGAAGGUUGUACUAUGAAUAUGAUAAAUGUGCCUUAAAUGAAGUAAGUGGCUUUAUGUGAUGUUAUGAAUAGUGUCUAUGCCUAUUGAUACGCUCAAACUUACGUGACAAAUAAGAAGUAAAGCGGUUGUGUCAAGUAAAUAACCCAACUAAUGAGGUUGGGAUCGUUCCCACGAGGAAAAUAGUUUAGACUUAACUUCAAUCUAUUAUUACUAUUGUUCAGUCAAUUACUUCCUUGGAAAGCAAAAAUGAUAAAAGGGGGGUUUUCUAUAUCUAAAUAAAUGAAGAUAAGUAACGAAAUUGAUGGAGAAAACUAACAACUUCAAAUGUUGGAGUUUAAUCAAUUAAUAAAAGUAACUAGGGUUUACGUGUUCCCCACAUGUUCAUAAAUUUAUAAUUCUAACUAUAACAAUUCUUUCCUAGUAUCUUGCAUGCAAAGUGAUAAGUUAUGUAUUUCUAAAUCCUUGGUCCGGCAUCUAGAAAAUUUCACUCCGCACCUUGGUCCGGCUACGUGUGUUGCUAUACUAACCCUUAUCUUUACCUCAUAUUAAGCAUCGUAUUUGAUAUUUGACUAAGUUAUUACCUCGUACCAAUCAAUACUAGCCUAUUAGAUAGUAUACACUAAAUCUAUGUUGAUAAUUCUUUUCCUAUUAUCUACCUCCUUGGUCCGGCAAGUAGCAUUAAGGUGAGUUCUAAUGUUGGUCAUCCAUUAAAAAGACUUCUAAGCGAAAGAAUAAUCAAUACAUGCAAGAAACUAUUCUAGAAUUGAUAUUUUAGUUAGGUUUUAUCUCAUUAUUCGCCUAUGGUUCCCACAACCCUAGUUAUGGAGUUUAGUUACCCAUAGUCAUAAUCACAAUAUUCAAAUAUAUAAUAUAAGAAUUCAUGCACUUACUUCAAUGAGAAAGAGUAAAAUCCGAAAGUUCGCUUGAUCAAUCUACAAAAUUCACCAACAAUCAAUUACAAGAGUCUAAAAUAUUCAAGAAUCUCAAAAUAAUCAAGAAUCUCACAAAGAGUCUAAAAAAUAAUCAAGAGUCUAACCUCAAAAAUGAGGUUUUUCGAACUAUUUAUAAAAAAUAAAAACCUAAUUAAAUAAGGACUCUAUUUGUUGGAAAUCUGUCAAAACGCGGCUGGAUUGACGGACCUUGCGACAGAUCAUCGCGGUCAUGACGGACCGUCAUGAACUCUGUCAUUCCAUACUUGGGCAAUUUUUUCUGCUGCUUUAUUCAUUACCCUCGACGGCAGGUAUGACGGAUCGUCAACGUUCCGUCGAGGGUCUCCGUUCCAAAACACUUGAACUCUUGGAAUUUGGGUACUGGAACUACUUCUCUGAUCUUCAUAACGAACCAGCAGGACGGACCGUCAUGGCUAUGACGGUCCGUCACGCACUCCGUAACCCCACACUUGGUCAGACUUCCCCAUCUUCCUUCAGCAGUUGCACUACGAUGCCACCUACGGACUGUCAUAAGCUCCGUAGGUGGUACUUUUCUGUAUUUCUUGCUCAAAAACCUUCACAUUCAUCUUCUAGACAGAUUUCCUUCAAAUAAAGAGAAACUUACAUAAAAAUUAGCACAAAAAGGCUUUUGGACACACUAAACUUAUGGAAAAAUUAUUAAUAAUACCGUGAAACCAUGGUAUAUCAACACCCUCAACUUAAAUUAGUUGUUUGUCCUCAAGCGACGCACUAUGACUCAAUACAAAAUCUUUGUAUAAUAGUAUCCAUGUUUUAUCUUUCGCAAUCAUUUAGCUAUUAAUCCCCAUCAUUCACAUCAUGUUUAUGCAUGCUAUCACUAUUAGGCCUGAAGUAUGUGGAAUCAGACCAUGACACAAACUCACCAUGCACUAACACCUAUCCUCUUCAAUUUCUCACCGAGGUGCUAAUAUUUCCGGUAUUGCAACUAGUGUCCUCACUUCAAAACAAAAUCUUCAUUUUUCACACAACGAUUUAAGUUUGAGUAUAAGGAUUACUUUUAACACUCACUCUUAGAACAAAUUCACACUCAUUCAUACAUAUUGCCAUAAGCUUGCCCUUAUUUUCACUUCUUUAAGUUCGCUAUACAACUCUUAGGAUUACGAUAGGACUUUCUUAGCUCGUAACAUAGGCUCAGGGUCAGGUAGGGUAUAUUUAGGUAUACUUUAGUGACUUUUUGUCCUCCUUGACAUAAAGGCUAAAGAUACCACUUUUUAUCAUUUUAUCUUGCCCAGUAUCUCAUAUUCUUUCACCUUGCUAUUUUUCCUUCUUUCUUCAUUUGUGUAAGUGACUCUCUUCUUUUCUUGCUUGCAUUUCUUGUAUAUUUUUUUUUAACUUUUCUUUCAACUAAUUCUUGAGUCACUUUAUUUUUGUUCUUUCUCACUCUUUGUUCUUUCAACCCCACCUUCCAGAGAAUUCCUUAUAAUAGCCACCCUCAACUCAUGCUUUACCAUGAGUCAAAGUACACAAUACCCAAAGUUGGGUCAGGGCCAUAAAAGGGUUGUUUAUUGCAUUAGCCACCCUCAACUUAUGCUUUUGGCAUAAGCUGAGGUGCACAUGUCCAAGGAGGGACCAGGGCCAACACAUUAUUCUCAGAAAAGAUCAGUUGGGAUGAAAUAGAAAGGUCUAGUUUAAGCUCAAAUCAUUUGGAUCAAUGAAGGAUAUAUUUCAUUUAGUUUUCUUUUAUUUAAGCUAAAAAUUGGAUAUAUUGAAUAAGGGCCUAUGAUCCUUUCCUAAUUGACUAUUACAGUUUACUUUUAGCCGGACUAACCAGACAAGUUCUAGCUCAGUACAAAUAGUGGACUAUUCAAAUCUUCCUCACACUCACUUGAUAUCUCAUUACUCUACCAGAUUAUCAGGCACCUAGUUUAAAUUUCAGACUUAGGGUCAUGCAAUGGUGUACCUCUAUGUCAUGCUUCGAGCCACACAUUUAUCAAUUACUAUGCCUAGUCAUGCAUCAUUUUCCAUUUUAUCAAGAUAUCAGUUUAGCCAUCAUGCUUCAGAAUUAAACUAUGUACACAAGAUAUAGACAUGCCGGUUCAACAGAAAAAAAAUAAUCAGUCUCUUGGGGAAAAAGAAUACAGGCAAGAAAACCCCAAAAGAGAUUAGUGAAUUGGGCUACUCAGACUUCACCCUAGCUCUCACUUUCCAUUCACCCCACCCCCAACAAAAAGACAUGCAAUUGUCCCUAAUGCAUAAAAAAAUUUAAAUACAAGAGUGGUAGGUGAAGCAAACCUGGGGCGCAAAGCACUGACGAUCAGAAAACUGGUGGAUACGGUUCCCCAGAACCCACAACCUCUGUAAUCUAGACACCCUCAGUAGUGUCCUCAACAUCAAAAACACUAUCAGCAGUGCUUCCCACUAUCUCCACAUUUCUGGAGCUAGACGCCCCAACAGCUAACUGUACUGCUCUCAUCUGACACGCCUCCUCAUCAGCAAGCGAGGCUCUCGUCGCAGCCUCCAUCUCACGACGCUCCUUAUUUCGUGCUCGAGCUUCAUCCUCCUCUCGACCCCUACGCCUCUUGGAAUACUCUCGAGGGGGAGGUGUUAGAAUCUCUGAAGUGGCGAAUAGGGCCGCCAUCACUAUGUCUUCAACAGGCUCUGAAAAAGGGGCCUCAGACUCAGGCACCCUAGCCUCUAAGAUCAUAUCGAUGUCUGGGCGAAGACUAUCGACUGCAGCCUGAAGGGUAGACACAUCCACCUGAGGGGCUGGUCGAGCUAACACCCGCAACUCAAAAGCGUCCAAGCGCUGAUGAACCUCAGUGAUCUUCCGCUCUGUGUGCUGGACCAUUCUCCACUCCAAGCGCUCUUCUGCCUCAGCAAUAGACCUCUGCAUCCAAGGCUGGACGUGAUAAAGAAGUGUAGCCAUCUGUGCCUCUAAUUUCGGGACCCUAGAAAGCGUGACCAGAGCGGAGAAAGGGGCUGAGCGAGAGGAGCUCGGGGCAGUGCUAUUACCCGUAAUAGACUCGAUCGGGGUAGUGUCAGUGGAAGCCGUCUGCAUAGCCGUGCGGGCCUGUGCUACUGUAUCAGCCAUAUUGUACCAACUCUGGAUGGGGCCCUCUGCGUGGAGCCAACUCAUUGGCCUCAUCCAUGAUGAGGCCGAUAUCAACAGUGCCCAGCGGGGUCUUGAGCUGAUCAAUGUGCCAUAUAGGCACACCUGCUGACUUGCAUAGAGAAAAUAUCAUGCAAGGGAAAGGUUGAGUAGUUGUGACCUUAAAAGCCCUUUCGUGCAUGACCGCCUAUAGAAGCCAACCAAAAUCCACCUCAAACCCGGCUAUCACCGCCGCCAUCAGUACUGCUCUAUCCCAUGUGACUAUAUUAUCAGCGGUUGUGGGGGAAAGGCAGUGGCGGACAAUCAACCACAAAAACUUCACCGUGAAGGUCAGAUUAGACUUCUUGAUGGCUAGCUCCCUUCGGAUCGGUCACCCAGUCAGCACCCUCUCCAUCAACGGACAAGUGCAGGGCCAUCCACCUCUUGGUGGUCUCUCUUAGGAUGGCUCACACAGGAAUUGACCAUUUUUAACAAUCUUCCAUCUCUAGUCAAAUUCGGCAGUGAGAGGGGUCCAGUUAGCAUCAACAUUCUCGCCGUAUAGAUACCUGCGGAUGGCAGGCAGGAAGAUAUCAACCUAAAUGCCACGUACUUGGACCUGCUCCAGUGGGGCCUGUUUGGCGGGGGCAGCCCGCCUAUCAAUCUGUGAUCGGAGAGUCGCUACGUAGGAGGCGUAGAACUCUCAAACCAACUCUUCACUAUAACGUCCCAACGGACGCGCUGUCCACUCCAGUCGAUGUCUGGUGAAGAGAUUGUGGAUCUCUGGCAUCGUGGGGAGACUUCCCAUAAGGACCCGUCUCUCCAAUGUAAGUGUUCGAGUCAUGACUCCUUUGUCAUUCAAGAACUUUGCAUCAGAAUAGACUUGAUACUGCCCGUCGACACACCACCGGUUGGGCUGGUCGGUAACUGGGGUGAAAGCACGAGUUGGUGAACCAGGUCUGGAGUCCAAACUGUCAGCCUCAUCAGACCACGCAGACUGUACAGCGGUGGCAGGUGCGGGAACCUCAACAGAUCCAGAGGCUUCCUCCGACCACGAAACUCCAAAGGAUCCAGAUGUUCCUUCUUCAUUGGUAGCUGACCCGAAGGUGUGCCGAUCAGUGUGCGCUCCUCAUCAGUCUGGGAGGCAGUGACUACGCCGGACGCCACUUUUUUGGGUGUGGCUCUGACAGCACGUGUAGCUCGGGAUGGGGUGGAAGUUCCUGGGGGCACGUACUCGGGGUCACGCUCAUCAUCAAAACCAAUGACCAGGCGGGUAGACGGGGCAACUGACUUUGAUCGCCCGCGUGCGUAGACUCGAUCUUGUUUUGGUGCCACAAUAGAUAAAACCUGUAAAGAAUCAUUAUUAGUACUAGAAGGAGCAAACAAGACAAUCAAAACGACUAAAAAUAAAUAAAAAAUUCAGAUGUAAUGACUUUUCUAUAGUAACAGUGAAACACGACGGACCAGGUGACGACUCGUCGUGUAUACAACGGACCGUCACGGGGUCCGUCGUGUCUUACUUAGACUAUAUUUAUAUGGAUAACCCUGAAGGAAAGUCUCUGACAAGUAUGACGGUAUAUGCAGGACAGACCGUCACAGGUAUGACGGUCCGUCGUAGGUGUCCGUCAGAGGACACUUGAAAAAAAUAUGGAGACCCUUAGGAGAGGGGUCUCUUACCGUCAUAACGGUCAUGCAGGACGGACCGUCGAGGGUAUGACGAUCUGUCGUAGUUGUCCGUAGGAGGACACUUAGAAAAAGUGAGAGACCCUUAGGAACAGGGUCUCUGACAACCAGAACGGUUGUGUAGGAUGGACGGUCAUGGGAAUGACGGUCUGUCGCAUGUGUCCGUUGGAGGACACUUAGAAAAAGUGAGAGACCCUUAGGAACAAGGUCUCUAACAACCAGAACGAUUGUGCAGGACGGACCGUCAUGGGAACGACGGUCUGUCGCAUGUGUCCAUUGGUGGACACUUGGAGGAAAUUGGCCAGUGGGGUGUUAAGGCUGUUAGAAUGGAUCCAAUGACGGUCCGUCAUGGGUACGAUGGUCCGUCAUCGGGGUAUCAUUCUGUAACUCAGUGACAGAACUGGGGAUGCCCCAUUCAUCCCCUAUGACCCAAAUAGAAUUGUUAGUGUACCUGCAUUUGUCUAACUCAAAUACCUAGUAAACUAGCAAUACUAAACCACCUAUUUCUAGAGUUUUAACACGGCAGUUUCGAGGAUUCUCAACCUAGGUCAAAUAAAAUUUUAUUAAAGAAUGAACCUAUCAAGAAGAACUAGGCUAAUACUAAUUGAUAAACAAAAAUGCAAUGUAAAUGAGUUGAAAUUAGAGACAUAUACCUGAGAAUUUGAGAAAAACAAGAGAGGAAGGUACUUGGUGAUCAAGUAGAGACCCACAACGGCAGCUCCGACUAGUAGAUAGUGAAUUUUUAGGAAUUUGGAGAAUUUGGAGAAAAUGAUCGGUUGUAAGAGAGGGGGGUUAUGAUCUAUGGAAGUUGAAAAGGGAGGGAAACGGGAGAAAGAGGGAAGGAAUGGUGUAAAAUGAAGGGGUGGGAGUUUUAAAUGUUGAAUUUUUUUAAAAAACCAGCCGGGUCGGGUACGCUUCAUUAAUUACGCGACGAGUCACCGACGAUGGUCCGUUUCAGUUGUGACGGUCCAUCGUUGGUUCCGUUGUGUGUGCCUUAGUUUAAAAAUAAAAUAAAGACGUACCUAGCUCGACGGAUUCAUGCGACGGUCCGUCACAACCACAAUGGUCCGUCGAUGUAUCCGUUAGUGACUGCUGCAGAGUGAUUUUCUGCAGAAUUUCCUGGUGAUGUGCCUGCAAAUUUAAAACCCAUUAGUAGAAAAUGCUACCAUUACUAAAAAGAAAAAAACUAUAAGUAUUGGGUUGCCUCCCAACAAGCGCCUGAUUUAACGUCGAGGCACGACUGAGGGCACUUGAUUACUCAGCCUUCAUCGAGAUGGUAUACCUCUAUCACUUCAUUCACCAAUGCAGUAUGCCCAAAAUAGAGUUUUAUUUGUUCUCCAUUCACCUUAAACCGCACUCCCUCCUUGGUUUCUAACUCAACUGCUCCAUGAGGGAAUACUUGGGUAAUCAAGUAACGGUCAGUCCAUUUGGACUUGAGCUUGCCCGAAAGCCAAUGCAACCUUGAACUGUCUAAAAGUACCAAAUCCCCAACCAUAAACUCUCGAUUUUCAUUUUUUAGGUCAUUAUCUUUCUUUAUUUUUUCUUUGUGGGAUAUAGCAGAUACCGAAUGGAGCUCACCACUUUACCUCAUGGACCUACAAAUGUUGAAGGUCGCUUCUUCAUUGUUCAACCGGAAUUUCAUCUGCUCCUUUUCCAUAUCAACUAAGGCUCUACCCGUAGCAAGGAAUGGCCUCCCAAGAAUAAUAGGCACUUCAAAAUCGACUUCACAAUCUAGAAUAACAAAAUCUACCAGAAAUAUGAAGGACUCCACUUUUACUAGCACAUCGUGGAGUAUCCCUAUAGGCCUUUUCACUGUUCGAUCAGCCAUCAGUAGCCGCAUUGCAGUGGCCUUUGGGUAACCCAAACCCAACUUCUUGUAAAUCGAGAGGGGCAUGAGAUUUAUGCUUGUCUCCAGAUCAUAUAAUGCUUUCGCAAUAUGUAAUGACCCGACUGUACAAGGAAUAGUGAACACACCCGGAUCUUCUUUCUUUUGUACGAGGGAUCUUGUAGAAAUAGCGCUACAAUGCUGCAUUCUAUCAUCAUCCUCGAAAGUGACCGAUCUUUUAUUUGUAACCAGAUCUUUCAUAAACUUGGCAUAACCAGUCAUUUUUUCUAGAGCUUCUACCAAAGGGACAUUGAUAGAAAGUUGCUUCAACAUUGUUAUAAAACGCCGAUAUUUACCAUCCUCAGUAUUUUUCACUAAACUCUGAGGAAAGGGGGGGUGGUCUAGGCAUGGGAAUUAACUUUAGGGACUUCUGCAUCUUUUCCAGUGCUAUCUUCUACUUCACCACUACCCUCUACCACCUUAUCAUUAUCCUUUCUCACCUUUCUCUCAUUAGACGGCAUAGGCAGGUCAAUGGUUUGCUUACCACCCCGAGUAGUGAUUGCCAUACACUGUGCAUCAUUUUUUGGAGUUUGGACAGUGUUUCUAGGAAGAGUGCCUGGUUUCCGUGUGUUCACAGUCGCAGAUAAUUGGGUCAUUUGCAACUUGAUCUACUUAAUCGAUAUUUUAUGUGUAUUGACUUUUUUGCCCAAUACCCGCUACAUCACUCCUUAACUCUUUAAUGUGCUCAUCACUAGCAUCGAACCUCCUCCUCAUUUUGUGCAACAUAUCCUCAACUCGCGCCAUACUAUCUCCACCAUCCCUAGGAGUAACAUCACAAUUUUGAGAAGGGACAUAGGGCCCAUUCCACUCAUUUCUGUUACCGUAGUUACCCAUGUUGAAGUUGUUGUCGCGGUUGUAGUUUCCAACUCGGACAUAAUGACCCUCAUGGUUAUAGUUACCAUAGUUCUGACCUUGGUUCCCUUGACCUUGACGCCAAUUCUCCUGAUUAGAGCCUUGGGCACUCAGUCGGAAACCCCCCAUCUGCUCAUUUACUGCAUAGGAAUCCUCCGCAUAAUAGCAUUCAUCAUUAGGUGGUGAUGGUUUAGACAAGUAGUUUACUGCAUUUAUCUUUUCUACACCCCCAAUGAUAUGUCUUAGUACCACCCUAAGCUCAGUUCUCAUGAAUCUCGUCUGUGGCUGGGUUGUGAGUGGACUGCACUGCGAAGGUAUUUCUCCCGGUAUCUGACUUCCUAGUACUCCAAGCUUUAUUGUCCCGGGAGAUUUUCUCUAAAUUUUCAGCAAUCUCAGCAUAAGGACACUCCCCAUAAGAUCCACCUGCUAUAGUGUCCAACACCGCUUUAUUAUUAUCAUCCUGUCCCCGAUAGAAGUAUUCCUUCAGUGACUCAUCAUCUAUACGGUGAUUUGGGAUGCUUCUCAAGAACGAGGUGAAUAUAUCCCAAGAACUACUAACUGACUCUCCUGGUAGUGCCACAAAGUUGUUCACUCUGUCUUUGUGGUUUAGUUUCUUGGAGACCGGGUAGUAGCGUGCCAAGAAAACGUCCCGUAGUUGAUAAUUAUAAACCCACGAGGAAAAUAGUUUAGACUUAACUUCAAUCUAUUAUUACUAUUGUUCAGUCAAUUACUUCCUUGGAAAGCAAAAAUGAUAAAAGGGGGGUUUUCUAUUUCUAAAUAAAUGAAAAUAACUAGCGAAAUUGAAGGAGACAACUAACAGCUUCAAAUGUUGGAGUUUAAUCAAUUAAUAAAAGUAACUACGAUUUACGUGUUCCCCACAAGUUCAUAACUUUAUAAUUCUAACUAUAACAAUUAUUUUCUAGUAUCUUGCAUGCAAAGUGAUAAGUUAUGUAUUUCUAAAUCCUUGGUCCGGCAUCUAGAAAAUUUCACUCCGCACCUUGGUUCGGCUACGUGUGUUGCUUUACUUACCCUUAUCUUUACCUCAUAUUAGACAUCAUAUUCGAUAUUUGGCUAAGUUAUUACCUCGUACAAAUUAAUAAUAGCCUCUUAAAUAGUAUACACUAAAUCUAUAUUGAUAAUUCUUUUCCUAUUAUCUACCUCCUUGGUCCGGCAAGUAGCAUUAAGGCGAGUUCUAACGUUGUCUAUCCAUUUAAAAGACUUCUAAGCGAAAGAAUAAUCAAUACAUGCAAGAAGCUAUUCUAGAAUUGUUAUUUUAGUUAAGUUUUAUCUUAUUAUUCGCCUAUGGUUCCCUCAACCCUAGUUAUGGAGUUUAGUUACCCAUAGUCAUAAUCACAAUAUUCAAAUAUAUGAUAUAAGAAUUCAUGCACUUACUUCAAUGAGAAAGAGUAAAAUCAGAAAGUUCGCUUGAUUAAUCCAUAAAAUUCACCAACAAUCAAUUACAAGAGUCUAAAAUAUUCAAGAAUCUCAAAAUAAUCAAGAAUAUCAAAAUAAUCAAGAAUCUCACAAAGAGUCUAAAAAAUAAUCAAGAGUCUAACCUCAAAAAUGAGGUUUUUCAAAAUAUUUAUAAAAAAAUAAAAACCUAAUUAAAUAAGGACUAUAUUUGCUGGAAAUCUAUCAAAACGCGGCUGGAUUGACGGACCUCGCGACGGAUCGUCGCUGUCACGACGAACCGUCAUGGACCAUGUCGUUCCAUACUUGUGCAAUUUCUUCUACUGCUCUCUUCAUUACCAUCGACGGCAGGUAUGACGGAUCGUCACAGGCACAACGGUUCGUCGAAGGUCUCCAUUCCAAAACUCUUGAACUCUUGGAAUUUGCGUACUGGGACUACUUCUCUGAUCUUCAUGACGAACCAGCAGGACAGACCGUCAUGGCUAUGACGGUCCGUCACACACUCCGUAACCCCACACUUGGUCAGACUUCCUCAUCUUCCUUCAGCAGCUGCACUACGAUGCUACCUACGGACGGUCACAAGCUCCGUAGGUGGUACUUUUCUGUAUUUCUUGCUCAAAAACCUCCGUAUUCAUCUUUUAGACAUAUUUCUUGCAAAUAAAGAGAAACUUACAUAAAAAUUAACACAAAAAGGCUUUUGGACACACUAAAAUUAAGGAAAAAGUAUUAAUAAUACCGUGAAACCACGGUAUAUCACCUAUGUAUAGUAUAUGAGUUAUAUUUUACUUAUUGUUUAUAUUGUUUUACAAAAAGGCAUGAUGCAUGGUUUUCUAACCAAAUGUCCUCUUUAAAUGCAUGUUUUUGCAUGGUUGUCAUACUUAAUUCAUUCUUGUACUAACACCAUUCUUCUUCACCCUUUUAAAACAAAGUAUAGGUUAUGAAUGCUUAAAGGAUGUCUCUAAAGUGAAGGGCUUGAUAGAUGUUUCCCAAGCUCAAGAAAGGGAUCCUUACGAUUUAAGGAUUUCCUUUUUAGAAAGAACCCAUGGCUAGAUUGAAUAAGAAGAGAUUUGAUCAUAAACCUUCUUUGGAAACAUUGAAAUUAACUCUCUAAUUGGAAGGUUACUUAGAGAUAAAGGAUUACCAUACCUUUGUCUUGUUGAAAACCUCUAAAAAUUGGUGAAGAAUCCAAUCUACGAGCUGUACUUGAGCUUCAACAACAGUGGAGGUUUCUAUAGAGAAUUAGUUUUGGAGGGAAGGUUUAUUUCGUGAGCAUGGGAUUGGGAAUGGGUUGGUCACAUUUUAGAUUACUUAUAUACACCAAAAAAUAGGUAAAUUAAUUAAUUAGUUAUGUAAAAAUUAUGGAUUAGUUUAGUUAUUAUUAUAUGUUGAUAAGGGUCGUGUCCCUAUUCUACUCUACUCUAUUGAUGUUGAGUCUAAGAUGGAAAAAGAGACUUAGAGUCUAACUAUGUAUCAUAACUUAUGUUUUAUAUACAUGAAGUGAUGAUUCUAGCAUAUGAUGUUCUAUGAAAGUUUGAAAUUUUCCGCUAAGUUUACCUCUGACCAUGCGAUGAAUGAUGCCUAUGGGCUUGUAUAAGACCACCGAGAGGUCAAGUACGCCAUGUUACUUCUAGGGGGUGCUCCCCGGUCGUGAUAAGCCACCCUCAACUUAUCUUUUUAGCCUAAGUUAAAGGUACAUAAUGUCCAAGGAGGACCAGGUCCAAAGCAAAGUUUAUGAAUUUAUUCUCGCAAGGUGAAUUGGGUGAGUUAAAAAAAUUAUCUUUUUUAGGCUCAAACAUUUGGAUCGAAGAGAGAAAUUUAUUUAUUUUGGUUGGUUGUUUUUAGUCUUAAGUUUACUCAUUCUCAAUAAUGGCAUGUGACCCUUUUCUAAAUUUAGUGUGUAAAACAUCUUAGCAAGACCAAUGUACAAGUUGUUGAUUGAUAUAAUCAUAAAAAGUGAAUUUUUCAGGGACCGAAUAAAGUUUGAUUGGUAUGCACCAUAUGACUAUUGAAACAUCCUCACACACAUGGCAUCUUGAUUGAAUAUCAAAUCAUCAAUAUAUUUAGCUUAUCAAUUACACAAACAGAGCACAUAACACAUUUUUGGAGGGGUCUCCCUUUUCAUGUUUUUUUUUUGUCAUCAUACUUUUCAUUCUAGAUAAUUUUACACUUAUACUAUCCUAGAUAUUUAGUUCAACGAAAAUUAAACAGUUCCUUGGGGAAAAAGAGCAAAGGCAAGAAAACCCCAAGGAAGGAUUGUGAGUUGAGUUAUUCAAAUUUCACCCUCUCAAUCACAAUUCGUUCACCUCAACCCAAAUGAAAAGUAGUGUAAUUCCAUCCAUGCAGAUAAUAAAGUAACACAAAGGGUGAGACAAACUUGUGGUGCAUAAGUUCCAAAAGAUCAAUCAAAGGUUGGUGGAUCUGGUUACCCCGAACCCGCUGGAUCACCAUGUGUGAAGAACUCAUUGAUGUCCUAAAAUAUAACUGAAGGAGAACCAUCAAUAGUGAUCCUCGAACCAGAUGCUCUAGCAAUCAUCUCCCUCUCUCUAAGCUUUCACAUCUUCUCCAUCAAGUCACGAUUGUUUUUGCAAUGCCUCAAACAGUUGCAUGUCUUUUCCCUAGGUCUCAACUCCUUCUCCAUAUCAGUUGUAUGCUCCGAAGCCUGUGUGCACUUUCAAGCCACAUGAUGAGGGUUAAGGGAAGGCUCAUCAUCACUGAAUAGUGCAUUUAACACCACAUCCCUACCAUCAUCCUAUCGAGCUUUUGUAGCUCAAAAAAUAUUUCCUCUGAUGAACUACUUGUAUCUUCACCUCCACAACUUGUUCUACCUUCUUCUCAGAUUCCUCAACAGUCUUUCACCCAAGGAUAAAUAUGCUGCAAAAGUGUCUCUCUUAGACUUUUGCUUCAGAGUAGAACUUGUCUUGUCUUUGACUUCAACCCGACCAUCCGAAUCUCUAACUUUUGGACUUUGGUUAGCAGCAUCAAAACAUAACUUGUAGGAGUAGGAGCAUGUGUUGUGCUCAUAGGUGGGACGGCUGAAGAAGAUGGUGGGGCUGCCAUAUCAAGCUCCGUAGGUGGAGCUGAAAUAUUUCCCUCUCUGGGUUGCUCAGAAACAAGGUGCUCACCCAUACGCGACAAGUCAAAUUGUAUACCCCUUCGUGGAACCAUGAGUUUUGCAUUAUCCCGUAUAACACCAACAUCAAUCGUCUUGGUCACCUCAAUCAAUUGGUCACAUCCCCACAUUGGAACUUUAGCCUUUCUACAUAGGAAAAAAUUCAAACCAAAAAUGGUAGUAUGGUCUUCUCCUGAGGUGAAUCGUGGCUAUCAAACUCUGAGAAUUAUCUAUCUCAUGCCCUUCCAUCAAAGAAGUAAGAAUCACCACACUAUCUGAAGUCACUAUGUUAUCUAUCACCAUGGGGGACAAUCUGGCUCAAAUAAUAGACCACCAGAACUUAGCUGCAAAACUAAGAGUCAUCUUUUUUAUAGGCAAAGUCAUGUCACGGACCCACUCAGUGCUCACCCUUUCAUCAACAAUGUGACCUGCUAUUCAAUGCAACAAGGUCUCUCUCUUCUCAGUGUCACGCAUGCGGCUUUAUUUUGCAGCACCCUCAUCCGUAGUCAUAUUAAGUUGUAUUAAUAGGCUAAGCAUGUGAAGGCCCAUAAAUAAAAUGGUGUACCAUGGCCUCAGAUAGGUUGACACAAAUACUCCACACUAGAGUUGUAAAAAAUGGGAUUGAGUCAGUGCCUUAUUAUGUGGCGGUAUAUCAUUUUGUUCAGUAACUGCGUAAAAAGCAUAAAACUCCCUGACCAUCUCUAAGCUAUACCAUUCUGGAGUCUAUACAACCCACUAACUCUAUUUUGCUUAAAUAGCUCAUUCAUCGCCAGAAUUGUGUGAAGACUUCCCAUGAGAACUUUAUUAAAACUGAUAAUUUAAUGUACAUGAAACUAGAAGAAUUAAGGAAAAGCUUGAAUCUCCAUUAAAGUUUCACAGAGAAACUAUACAAUGAAAUGUAUACAAUGAAGAGCACACUCAAAAACUACUCUACAACUCAUAUGUAUCAACCCUUAUAUACAUCUGACUACUAACCGACUUACAUAAAUGAAAAUAUCCUCUAAAAAAAUCCAUCCAUAACCUACUAACAGAAUCCUUAACUAACUUGACAGGUGGACUAAUUAACAAUGACUUAACAUUUACAUUCAGCUCUUUGCAAUUUCCUUGUUGUAUUCUCCAAUAGCCCCCCUUCAAGCUGGGUGAUAUGAAAAUGUUCUUCAUUUCCAGCUUGGACAUGAGAUGUGAAUUUUGAUAUUUACCUAAGCCUUUAGUAAAAAUAUCAGCAGGGUGUUCAGAAAACAUAAGUAGUGUAUGAUCACAAAUCCUUUCAAAGCCUUUUCCCUAAUAAACUGACAGUCAAUGUCAAUGUAUUUUGUCCUUUCAUGGAACACUGCAUCGACAACAAUUUGAAUGGUUGCUUUGCUAUCACAGUGAAUAGGAACAUGUAGGCUCAAGGUCAUGUCUAGAGUCUCAAACAAGCCAAUGAUCUAGGUGAUUUCUGCAAUAGUUGAGGCAAGACUCCUAUACUCUGCCUCAGCGAAUUUCUAGAAAUAGAGGAUUAUUUUUUGGACUUCCAAGAGAUUGGUGAAUUCCCAUACUGCACUAGGUAACUAGUGAUGGAUUUCCUGGUGUUAACACAAUCCCCAGUCUGCAUCACAACAAGCCUUAAAUGAUCUUGUGGAUGUUGAUGAUAGCAACACUCUAAUGCCUGGUGAUUUUUUGACAUACCUCACUAUUCUGAUGGCAGCAUUCAUGUGGGAAGUCUUUGGAGCCUGCAUGAAUUGACUCAAAUUUUGAAUUGUAUAUGAUAUAUCUGAUAUUGUGAGAGUGAGAUAUGAUAAUCUUCCAAUCAACUUUUGAUAUUCACUGACAUCUAUUAACAAUGAUUAGAAUUACUCCCGAUUAAGUCAUCAAAUUCAGUAGUAGUAAGCUUUAGAUUUUGGUCAAUCGGUGUGCCAACAGGCUUAGAGCCUCCUAAUCUCAUAUAUGAAAUUAAUUUUAAAGCAUACUUUCUUUGGUGCAUAAAAAUUCCUUCUGUGUUAUUGGAAAACUCAAUCCCAAGGAAAAAUCUCAAGCUCCCCAAAUCUUUAAUCUUGAAGUUAUCCUUCAAGACUUGUUUUGCCUCUUCUAUCAGUUGUGGACUACUUUCUGUCAAAAGAAUAUCAUCCACAUAUAUGAGUAUCACAACUAUCUCAUCAUGAGUCUUCUUAGUCAUUAGAGAGUAAUCAACAUGACUUUGUUGAAACUUUGUCUCUUACAAGGUAUUAGUCAACUUAACAUUCCAUUGUUUAGAGGCUUUCUUCAAUCCAUAUAGUGAUUUAAUCAAUUUACACACUUGAAUUCUAUCUCCAUUAUCCUGGUGGAAACUUUGUGGCAAUUGCAUAUAGACUUUUUCAGUUAAAUCUCCUUGCAAGAAUGCAUUAUGAAAAUCCAUUUGUUGAAUAUCCCAACCUUUUACUACUCUAAUGGAUAACACUUUCCUUACUGUGACUAUUUUGACAACUGGGGAAAAUGCUUCUUCAUAGUCCAAACCUUCCUUUUGGUUGUAGCCCUUAUCUACCGACCUAGCCUUAAACCUCUCAAAUUGUCCAUCAUCCUUAUAUUUUAUCUUAUAAACCCAUUUUCAUCCAAUAGUCUUCUUAUUAUAGGGAAGUGGAACCAAUUCCUAUGUCCUGUUGUCCUCCAAUGCUUUGAUCUCAUCCUUCAUAGCUUGAACCCAUCUAUCAUGUCGGAUAAACAAUUGAUAAAUACUUGGUUCUACUUCAAAUGAGGAGCUGGCAUUACAAUACUGAUAUGACUUUGACAAAUGGUCAUAUUUAACACUAUCACAAAUAGAAUAGAGACAGUUGGUUUGCUUAGUUCUCAUAAUAUUACAAAAUCUUUUUGCCAUACAGGAGCUAUACUUGACCUUGUUGAUCUUCUGUUUUCCUUAUCAGUGGAUUGAGUCAUUACAUUUUCUUUAGCUACAGGUAUUAUGUGUUCUAUGGUAAUAUCUGGGACGAAAACUGCAACAUCUUCUACUAUUACUGGUUGAGGAGUAUGAAUAUCUUCUGUGGACCAAGUAUUAGCCUCUGUAUUGGGUACUAUAGGAUCAACAUUCAUCUUUCUAUUUUCUGUGACCUUCAACACACUUGUUGAGUGAAAAGGAAAGAUGUUCUCAGAAAAUAUGGCAUCUCUGCUAAUGAAAAAAAUAUGGCGCUUUAGAUCAUAUAUCUUGUACCCUUUCUAUGUAUCUCCAUAUCCUACCAACACUGACCUGGUUGCUCUUGGACCAAAUUUGUCAUUUUUGUGUGUUAUAGUAACAUGACGUAAACAUCCUAUAACUCUCAUAUAGGAUAUAUCAGGUGGCUCUCUAGACAUUAUUUCAAAAGCAGAACCAUUAUUUAAUAUUGACAAUAAUGGUACCCUAUUUAUGAUAUGUACAACAACUAGUAUAAACUCUCUCCAAAAUCUGAUUGGCAAAUGAUCUUGAAAUAUGAUUGCUCUAGCACUUUCUAAGAUGUGUCUAUGUUUUCUUUCCACCAGACCAUUUUGUUGAGGGGUGUGUGAACACGAACAUUGAUGAACUAUGCCAUGAUUCUUAAACAACUCAUUACACUGAAAGUUAAAGAAUUCUCCUCCAUUAUCUGAUCUGAAGAGCUUAACCUGCACACCAAACUGUGUUCUAACCAUCACAAGAAUCUGCUUCAUUAUAAUGGAAACAUCAAAUUUAAGAUGCAAUAGAAAAACCCAAGUCCACUGGAAUGAUCACCAACAAAUGUAAAAAAAAAACUUCGUGUUAUUAUGUGUUGCAGCGUUAUAUGGUCCCCAUACAUCUAAAUGAAUCAAAUUAAAACAUCUAAUGCUUUUAUUGCUGCUAACUUUUAAAAGAAGUCUUAUUUGUCUUGCUAAUAGACAUACAUCGCAGUUGUCUACUGUCAAAUUUGCAUUAUUGUUCAUGAGCAUGCCUAUUUUCCUAAUAACAUUCAUAGGCACAUGCCUCAAUCUCUUACGCCAAACACCACCAUUUUCACAUCCUUUUGUUUCUAUCAAAGACUUUCUUCCUGCCAUUUGUUGUUGUUUCCGUGCCUUCAGCAAAUAUAACUCAUCCUUCUCCUUACCAAUCUCCUUUACUCUCCCAGUAAAGAGAUCCUUAAGGAUGAAGAAGUCAGGGAAACAUAAAGCACAACAAUUCAACUCUUUUAUGAGCUUAGAUACUGACAAAAAAAUGAAUUUAAAAGUUGGUACACACAAAACAUUCUUAAUACCAUCACCUCAUGUUAGCUUAGAGUUUACUGACUGUUAAUGGUUGUUGAGUCACCUCUUACUAGUUGAACUUUCCCUAGAUUACUCACUGUUGAUCCAUGAUUUAAUAAGAUUGUACUUCCAACCAUGUGUUCAUAUGCUCCACCAACUACUAUUCGGUCCAAAUAAUUACUAUCAACAACAUAUUACAUAAGGAGGUACCUUCAAACAUACCAGCCAUGUGUGCACUAGAUUCAGUGAUUUGGGACUUUUUCAACAUUCAUAAGAUUUGAGUAUACUAUUUUGGUGUGAAAUGAGGAACAUACUCAUUCUCUAAGCCUGUUCCAGGUUGCGAAUGUUUGUUGUAUUGCUCAUAAUCAUGUCUCUAAAAUCCUCGCGAUCCAUUGGAUGCUUGCACCAUGUUAACUUUCUUCUUUCCUUUCCAGUCCGGAGGAUAGACAAUCAACUGAAAAAAGAUAUCCUUAUUGUGACCUUGCAUGCUGCAGUGAGUGCAAUUGCAUUCUUUCCUAAUAUGACCUUUCUAUCUCAAUAAUCGCAAUAAGAACUACCUCCUCUUUGCUGCUUCUGAGAAUUUCCAUAUACUCUACCUCCUCUGCCUCUGGAUCCUGUACCUCCAAAUUCUGAGCCAUGUCUAUUUAUUAGCAAUGUAGUGUGAUCAUUAUCUUCACUUCCUCUAUGAAUUUCUCCACCCAAGGAUUUCUGACUCUCAUCUUGCACAAUCAUAGCAUAACAUCGAUUAACACUUGGUGGAGGAUUCAUCAUGAAGAUUUCACUGUGUGCUUGGCUAUAGCUGUCAUUCAAUCCCAUAAGAAAUUGUAGUAAUUUCCGUCUAAACAUGCUAUCAGUAUAAUCCUUAGAUUUACCACAUUCAUAGGAGGGAGGGAGGACAAUUGAAUCAAAUUUGUCCCAUAGAUCCUUUAAGGGAGAGUAGUACAGAUAAACAGGGGAAAUACCUUGAGUAUGAGAAACUAUAGCUUUAUGCAGAUGCAAAAUUCUAGACAUAUAUAUUGACCUUGUCAGAUCGUUCUUGUAAAUCAGACCAUACUAGUGUUGCAUUAGAUCGAAAAGGAUGCCACUAAUCAGAUCCUUGUUCACAUUCGUCAUUAUCCAGGAGAUCACCAUCAGUUUACACCUAUCCACUAUUUCUUCUACACAUCGUCAGUGAAGUCGUCUCACUUAAUGCUACCAUCAAUGGACCCAAUUUAUUCUUUGUGAGGAUAUUGAGUUGCAUUGCACGACUCCAAAGAGUGUAAUUCUCCAUUCCUGACAAGCUGAAUCCCAAUUCGCACAACUCCUGGUUCAUUGGAAGAGGAUGGUCAUGGUCGAUCUUCUUCACCAUUUCAUUUAAUCCAAAAGAUGGAAAUUGAAUCUGUAAACAAUUGCUGCAUAUCAAAGCCGUCUACGUCACUCUGAUACCAUGUUAAACUGAUCAUUGAAUGUAUAUGAAGCUGGAAAAAAUAAGGAAAAGCUUGAGUCUUCAUUAAAGCUUCACAGAGAAACUAUACAGUGAAAUAAAUACAAUGAAGAGCACACUGAAAAACUACUCUACAACUCAUAUGUGUCAUGCCUUAUAUACAUCUGACUACUAACCGACUUACAUAAAUGAGAAUAUGCUCUAACAGAAUCCAUCCAUAACUGACUAACAAAAUCCUUAAUUAGCUUGACAGUUGGACUAAUUUAACAAUGAGCUAACAGUGGCUUAACAUUUACAUUCAGCUCUUUACAAUUUUCUUGUUGUAUUAUCCAAUAAACUAUACGCUACAAGAAUUUUAAAUAUAUAUUUUGUACUGAUUAUUAUCAUAGAGGCUUAAGGCAUCGACAACCCUUUAAAGUUGUCCGCAUAAUUCACUUAGACACCCCAACUAAGACUAUUAUCUAUAGACACUUUAAUAUUAAAGAAUAUGUAUCUAUUGAACAUAAAAUGAAAACAUUUUUUAAAAUUAUUUUGCAUGUAAUUCACGCGCAUCGUCUUAAAAUAAUGACAAAUAAAAUUAUGACACUUGGCACAUGGUCGCAGUCUAGCAAUAAAAUAUAAUUUUUCAAUUUUAAAAAAUGAAAAAUACUUUUCAGCUUUUAUUUAUUAAUCACAAAAAUAUUUAAACAAAAAAUUUCCCCCACUCCCACCUAACCCUUUGACCUUUCUACUUCCUUUUACCCUGUGAACCCUGCAUCCACCGUCAAUUUCUCCAUUGUUAACUAAGAUAACAAAAAUAAAAAUCCCCUGCUCAAAUUCAUUCUUCUAGAUCCGUUAUUCUCCAUUCGUUUUGAGAUUUUUGUGAAAAUAAAUAAACGUCACUAAAUUAUUAUUGAAAUCGUGAGGAAGAAAAAUUGAAAGUAUGUUGAAUUUUUUGAUAUCUUUAAUAAGUUUACUGAGUGGCGAUGAUUGUUCAAUCGGAGUGAUCGGAAUAGAGAUGGACGAAUAUCGAUCAAUUUUUAACUCGAGUGUUCAAAAUUUUUCUUCUUCUCACAUAUUAAACUAGCAAAUUCUUUUUUACAAAAAAUGAAAAAAAAAGAAUGAAAAAAAAAUGCUCAGAAUUUAAAAUCAUUAGAAUGGUGGAGGAAGAAGAUGACCACUGGUGCAUGGGUAUGGGUGUGGGGGUGUGGUGUGGUUGGUAUGAAGAGAUUAAUGUGGAACUAAUAUUAUUUUUUAAUUAUUUAGUUAAUGCAUGUCAACAUUAAAAAAAAUAGGUACCAUUUAACAAAAAAUAUAAAAAAUAAAAUUUUACUCUAUUCACGCGCUAUGUAGCAAUGACAUACACUUAUUUCGUCACAUUAGCGUUUUGUGUUUAAUAGACAGAUAUUUUGAAAAAUAUAGGUGUUCAAUAGGUAUAUGUCCUAGUUAAUGUGUCUAAAUGAAUUAUGCGGAUAACUUUAAGGUUGUCUAUGACUUAAGCCUUAUCAUGGAAGAACCAUAUCAUAUAACCAAAUACUUUUUUAUGCUCUUCUUUCUUAUAGUCAAUUCUCAAAGCAUUAGAAACCUUCAAAAUAAAAAUAAAUGUUAUGCACAUCCAUUUUGUGUUAUCUCUUUUAUUUGUUAGCGUGUUUGUCGACAUUUAUAGUGUAGGCUGCCUCGUCCCGAGGCAAAUCCGGAAUGACAAACACAAUCACAAGAUUGGACAUGGAAAAUUUACCUUUCGGCACUUGAGUUUUUUAUUCUUUUAAUUCCUCCCUUGAGCCUGUAAGCUUUUUUAAUUUAAUCCCUUGAUGGCUUGAAAAUACAAUCUUUAAGUUAGAAUUUUUUAAGUUAGAAGUGAAGAGUUAUUAUCAUUCAAGCAACCCUUAUUUUCUUUUUUAAAAAAUAAUCUAUUGGUUGUUGUAGUGAGUUAUUGCAUAAAUUGGAAUACUAUGGGUGUAAAGCUAAAUGAGGAGAGGCAUAGGAGGGAGGAGUGAUGGAUAUAAGGAUGAAUACAGACUAAUGUAUAUUUAUUUAAAAUUAGAAUGACAUUAACGCAAACAAAUGUACACCAACGUAUUAAUGAAUACAUAAAUGAAUAUAUUCAAGACAAAUGUAUACAAAUCUAUUAGAUGAAUAUAGAUCAAUGGAUGCCAAUACAAACAACCGUAUACAAAUUCAUUAAAUGAAUAUGAAUUGAAUUUCUCACCAUAACUUCUAGCAAGCAAUUGAGGAAAAUAAUUUUUAGAUCGUAGAUUCAAAUAAUCUAUGAAACAAUAAUAGUCAUAAUUAAAUAUUUUAUGAUAAUUUUAAUGAGGUAGAUAAUUUUAAAUAAAUCUUUUUAUAGUUUUAAGGAGAAAUGAUUUGAAGUUAAAAGUGAUAUAUAAUAAAUAUCCUUUAUAUUUUUAAGAAAAGUAUUUUGAAGAGAGAAGGGUGUGAUGCAGAAUAUACAUACAUAUGGCUAUGAAAUGCCAAUCAUAUUGAAGCUUUCAUUUACUAAGUAUUUAUUUGGCUAAAACAUGACAACUUAAUCUAGGGAAAAGGGUCUGAUAUACCCCUCAACUUUGUUAUUUGGAGCUGAUAUACCCCUCGUUAUUGAAGUGGUUCAUAUAUGCCCUUACCGUUAUACAAACGACUCACAUAUACCCCUGCCGUUACAAAAUGGCUCGCAUAUACCCUUCAUUUAACGGAAGUUAAAAAAUUAGUUUUAAAUUUAUAUUUAUUACUUCUAAUUUUUUCAAAAAAAAUAUUUAGGGGCAUAUGUGAUUCUUCUAUUAAAGUUUAAGGUAUAUUUUAAUUUUUUUCAUACAUAAAUUAUUUUUUGACUUCUUUUAUUAUAAUCAUUUGAGUUUCUUAUUCUUAUUUUGUUUUUUUUCUUUCAUUCCUUAGUUUAAAGGAAAAAAAUUAAACUAUUUUUUUUUGUAUGUUAUAAUUUAAUUUUGUAUUCGAAGAAAAAAAUUUGAUCAUCUACAAUAAGUUUUACAGGAAUAUUACUGAAACAUAAAUAAAUUUGAUUAUCAAAAUAAUAAUUAUAAAUUAGUCACUGAAACAAAAAAAAAAGUCAAAAAAAAUAUGUAUGACGAGGAUUAAAUUUACUCAUAUGGGAUUAUAUUUUUUAGAAAAAAAAUAAUAAAAAUUUAGAUUAAAAUUAAAUUUUUUUCAUUUCCAUUAGAGGAAAAGGGUAUAUGUGAGCCAUUUGUUUACAAGUAAGGGUAUAUAUGAGUCACUUUCAUAACAAGGGGUAUAUCACUUCUAAAUGACAAAGUUGAGGGGUAUAUCAGACUCUUUUCCUUUUAAUCUAAUAAUUGUAGGAAAGUUUAAAAAGCAUAUUUUUUGGUCUACUAAGCAAAGGUACAACCACAAAAGCUUAGCUGGACAAGUAUAAUAUUGCAAACACCAAUUGAAAAUUGAAAAUGCCUUUGACAAUAGCUAACGAGGAAUUUCAAUUGUCCCUCACCUUAUUUAUAAGAAAGAGUAUAUCCUUUUAAUGUUGUUCUUUUCUCUGUGAAGAGUAUUUAUUGCACCACAGCAUACAAACAAAUACAUGCUCGAUAAAAAAAAUAAAAUAAUAUCGGUAUACUUCCCUCCUCUAGCUAGUAACCAAUAUAUAUAUAUAGAGAGAGAGAGAGGUAAUUUAUGAUCACUAUAUUUCAUAUUUUUAUGGAAUUAUAAUUUUAUACAAAGAAUGUUCAACUGACUACAUGUGACAACGCCACUUAUAAACAAGGUAAAAGAUCAAUGAUACUUUUGUGAAAUCAUAACAAGACAAGAAGAAAGCUCCCUAGGUUUAGAGAACAUGACCAUGUGGCCUGCAUCCUGAAUCAUGUGGACCUCAUCUGGUGGAUUAUUUUUAAUCAACCACCUUUGAAAUUGUUGUUCCUUGAGCACAAUGUCCUUUUCACAUACAACAUAAACACGAUGAACACUACCAUAUUUCUCUUUUGAAAGUGUAGUGUUUGCCAAUAGGACUGACUCAUCAAACCAUGGUCCGGGUCUCACCAAAUAUGUUGCAAGAGUUAAGUCCUGUAGAGCCCCAUAGAUAACAAUUAUUGAAUUUUAUCAUAAUAUUAUCAAAAAGUAAUUGAAUUUCAUAGAAGAGAAAAAAAAAUCAUCUAAAAUUUUGUCUAUGUGACAAAUGAUGAUUUGACCACAUCAUUAAUAUAAUUUUUUAAAUCACUCAAAUAUUCCCAAACUAUUAUUGUAGAGAAGAUAUAAAGUAGUUAAAAAUCUCAUUAAAUAAAGGGCAAGUGUGGAAACAAAUUAAGAGCCACAUCAGGAGGGGAGUGUUUUAAACUUUAAAUAAUUCACUUAUUUUAAAUUAAGAUAAAAAAAAACUCAGCAAUCCACUUAACAUGGACUAGAGGAAGAAUAGUGUAUAACUUGUAUGUAGUAUUUUAAUACUGUAGUACAAUAGAUAGACAUAACCGUAUAAGGAUGUGUAUGAGUUAACUAAGAGGAGAAAACAUAAAGAGUUAUAUUUAUACACUUAAAUAUUAUUCGAUAAUCUUAAGGAUCUACAUAAAAUUUACCUUCUCCAGAUUCUAUUAGUAAAAUUUCAUUGAAUAUAUUGUUGUAAUAGUUCGGUGGGUAAGAUAUUAGGCAACUAUAGGUACAAUUAACACACACAAAAGAUGUAAAGAUUUGAAAGUUAGGGAAAAUAAGUUUAUAGUUUUAUUUUGGUUGAAAAAUAAUUAGUUGACAGUUGAUACAUACUCACCUCAGGAGGGGAGUACUGAUAAAAGAUGGUUGCUAAGUCUUUAGGGCCUAACACGAGAGAGGUAGGGGUUUUAUCCAGUCCGUUGUUGUACACAAAUUCAGUAUCCAUAGGUGCUUCCACUUGUUCACUAUACUGUCAAUUUGCAAACAAAAAAAAUGAUUACUAAUAUUUGCAAUAUGAUAGUAGUAAUACAUGUACACUCAAAUACCUUGGAAAUUGCUGUUUUUAAACUUUUGAUCACUACGUGUCGUAUGGACAAUUUUUUUUUUAAUAUUAAAGAGUAAAACUUGAAAUUUUGUCUAUGACACAAGCAGAAUUAAAAGUAUAAGAUUAUCCACCUAUAAAGUUAUUUUUAUAGAUCGCCAUAGUUAACAACCUUAAAAAUAAGGUUGUUAAUUGUAACGAAUUUCUCCGACAGUUAUUAGUAGUAGAACAAUUAAUGGUGAAUGAAAUUAGUCCAGAAUGUUUUUUGGAUAGUGACUUAAAAUAUCUAGGUUAGGCCAGCAAGGUGAGGUCUAGAGAAAUUCGAAAAUGGGUUGGGUGUUAUGUCUAAGCUUGAUUCAUGUUUUCUAGUAGUUAAGUCAUUACGCAACUCAUAGAACCUUUUGGAAUGCUUGCCAGGGGUCGAAGGUAUGGUGCCAAAUUGGGAGGGGAAGAGGCUCUGAGGCUCUUCCAAGUCUGUGAUGUUUGUGCAAAUCGUUAUAAGGGUGUCAGGCCGCUACAGUGGGAAUUUAGCAGCGCUAUGGUGACGCUCCUGUAUCGGGUUAAAUCAGGAUUUAAUGCAGAAUAGUCUCAAACAUCCUAUUUUCUACAACUUUGUUCUUGAAGGAAGGAAAGGUGAUUUAAGGCAGUUUCCGCCUGUUUUCCACUUAAGAGUUCUCCGAUAAAGGUAAGUUCAUUACUCCCCUAGUUUGUAAAUUGAUUCUUAGAAACCUUGAUUUAAUGGUGAGAAAAAUUCUAAUUUGGGUAGAGUGAUCAUGAGUGGUCUUCGUAUUAGGAUUUGAGUAUAAUAUUGGUAUUGCUAGGCCAUCAUUGUUUUAUUAUUUUCUUAGACGAAGGCAUUGAUAAAGGGGAAAGCUCGAGUUCUUUAGAGUUUUCAAAUAUUUGAUUUAAGGUUGGUGAUCGUUGUGUUUUCAUGUGAUGUGUGCAUGUCUAUUGCUUUAUAAUAUUACUUGUGCGAUGCAUGUGAAGAAAUUGAAGGCUGAUGUAAAAUGAACUAUGUUGAUAAUCUCAUGCAACGAAUCUGUUAUUUAAUAGGUAGAAGUAUGAUUGUUCAUUCUGAUUAUGUUUGUGUGUGCUUCUUGUGAAUGAUGGUUGGCUUGGGUACCACGUCGGUACAAAAUAGUAACGGUUGUCUCAAAUACCAUGUUUGUAUGAAUCAUUUAUGGUUGGACCGAAUACCACACCAGUACACUAACAGUUUGUAUGUGAAUUCUGUUAGGAUAUACUAUUAACCAUGCGUUUUGAUAUAGUAUUAAUAUUGAACAAUUCUUUAUUUAUUUAUUCAAUUCAAUACAGUGUUACAUUAAAUAGAUCAAUUGUCAUAUAUGUGUCCUUAACUUAUAUAGUAGAUGAUUUGGUGUAUAGAGUUUAAACUUAUACACAGAAGAUUAAAUCAUCAGUUCUUAUAAGUUAAAAUUUAUAGUUCACAAUCAUAGAUGGAAAUUUGGACAAAAUCAUCAGAAAGAUUGUAGCACGAGAUUAAAUGUAAUUUAUCUUGAUUAUGAGAAUGACAUAGUUCUAACUUCUCGUGCUAGUGCAUUUGGUAUGUAUUGAACGGGACCAAGCAGAGAUAGUUGUUUUAGACUGGCUGAUAAAAACAUAUUCUCUAAACUAUUAAAUGUACUUAUAUUCUUAAUCUUGAUAUAACGAUUAUGAUCUGUAUAUAUUAUUUAUCAUUUUGAUUUAUUAAAAGGUGAGAUUCUGAGAUGGGUCAAUAUGCCUAGUAAAUUGGAUGAUAAUAAUAUAUAUUGGUGAAAUAAUUAGUUAGUUGAUGGAAUCCAUGUCUCAGUAUAGAGAUUAAUGAUACACCUUUUAUGAGAAACUUGUAAGUUUUCAUGUGUAAACCCGGUCGGUAGAUUUAUGAAUCUGGCACAUGAAAUAAGUUAAGUAUUGCUCUAAAAGAAUUUAAUCAUUGAAUGAAAUUCGUCAGUAAUUUAAUUUAUUGAUUAGUAUCGGUAAUCUUAACAUGGGGAAUCAAAUAAGUGUUUAGUGAUGAAUUUCGAAAUAAAUAGAGGAGUUCAAUUACGAAUUUUUAGUGGAAUGAUUUGUAAUUUAUUAUGGUAAGAAUAAUUUAAAUUAAUUAUUUAGAAUUAUUUCCAUAAUAGGAAGCCUCAGUAAUAAAUUCUAUGGUCCCUCCAGUGCCCAAUUUAACUAGAACUCAGAAUCCUAUUUUCUAGUAGAAGAUGGAAAAGUAGCGUUCUUUUUCUUUGGAGGAAAACGUGUGUUUUCAAGUUCUCCUAAAAGAAAAAGAAUUGGUUUUUCCUCUCCUCUUUGGACUAGGAAGACAUCUCCUAAAAGGAAAAAAAUUGGUUUUUCCUCUCCUCUUUGGACUAGGAAGACAUCUCCUAAAAGAAAAAGAAUUGGUUUUUCCUCUCCUCUUUGGACUAGGAAGACAUCUCUAUAAAUAGGGAUUUUUCUAACCUAGAUAGAAAGAGAGAAUUAUAUACAAUACUUGCUCACCCAAGUAUUGAGUGACUUCACUUGUUGAUUGGGAUCACUGUAGAACACUAUAGAACUGGAGUUGGAUUUACUUCAAGAUAUCUGCACACGCUUCAAGAGGUAAUCCCUGAGUUAAUUUUCAGCAUACUUUGUAUGUGAUAACUAUUUGUGAUUGUUAUUUAUAUUCAUGCAAGAUGUAUGAUUCUGGAAUGCUUCCGCUGUGUAUGCUAUUUUUCCAACAAUUGGUAUCAGAGCCAUACUUGCAUCUUUAUACAUAACCUAAAAUAUGCAUAUGUGAAAUUAUAUGUAUGAUUCGUGAUUGUGAAUUUUAUUUUAUCACGAAAAGGACAGAACGGAUAAAAACUUGAUUUCAUUUGUUUUUGUUAAAUGCAUACGGUAAUAGUUACUUAUGAAAAUUGAUUUGUAAGAUUUGAUAAUAUUUUCAUAUUGUCAUGCACGGUGUUCUUCGUUGGAUAAUUUCAAGAGAAAUUUUGAUAGCUGCACCGAUCAAUUUUUUUUGUUGUCUUGUGGCAGCACUUAUGUGCAAUUGUAUAUAUCAGAUUUGUGUUAUGGCAAGGCCAAAGAGAAGCACACCACGUCAUGGCAGCAAUACAUGAUUGCAUGUGUGAUUUAUGUCUCGAUUAUGUGGCUGUUUUUGAUAUAAUUAAAAAAAAGGUUAAUUUUUUUUUUGGCUCACAUGUUUUAAUAUAGAGAGAAACUUUUGAUUUAGUACGACUAAAACAAAAUAGUAUGGCUGUAGUUUUCUUGUUCACAUUAUAGGCAGCCAUAAUUUUUUUUAAUCAAAAGGUGUAUUAUUGAAUAUAUAUGAGAUGGUACAUGGAAUGUACGAAGAUUUGGUGUGCGUAUAUUUUCUUUCUGGAAAUUUUUUUGUAUGAAUUUGGAAGAAAAUAAAUGGUGAUGAGUAAAUUUUUUACCAAGAUUAAAUAUUAAUGAAAUAUUAAGUUUACGUGUUGGCUUAGACCUUCCUCCCCAUCGGAUGAAUUUAAUACAAGUCAUUACGUAUUUAAUCGCUAGUUUGACAAUUUGUAUUAACUCUCCUAAACUGAGUAAUAUAUGAUUGGAUCAAUGCAACUAGAGGAUUUUCACUUGACUUAAAGCAACAGUAGACUCUCCAACUGAGUUAGGUCUGUAUAAGUUUAUAAAGUGAAUAAUCGGUCAUUAUAUAUGUAUAUUGUAUGAAUAGUUCUCCAAUCCCAACGAUUGGCUAUUUAAGAUGCAUGAAUGUAUAUGUAUAUCAUGAGUUUGAAUGUAAAUAUUCAAUGUUAUAUGACUAUGUUAUUGAUCUAUUGUAACUAUUUCUUUAAUCUCAGAUUCAACAUGUCUCCUUUUAAUCCCAUUAGUACUAUUUUGGGUCAAAACAAACUAGAGGGUUCUAACUAUGUUGACUGGAGGAGAAAUCUUGACAUUGUGUUAACUGCUGAAGAAUAUAAGUUUGUGCUUCAUGAGGAAUGUCCAUUGAAACCAAAUGAUCAGUUUAGUGAUGAGGAUAAGUUAGCUUAUCAGAAAUGGCGCAAAGCUGAUGAGAUGGCGCGAUGUUACAUUAUGGCUUCAAUGUCAAAUGUUUUGCAACAUCAACAUCAAGCUAUGUUGUCUGCUUUUGAAAUUCGGGAGAAUCUCAAACAAAUGUUUGGAGACCAGGGUCGAUAAGCUAAGCAGACUGCCAUGAGAACUCUCAUGAACACUAAGAUGGUUGAAGGCACUCCUGUAAGAGACCAUGUUCUGAAGAUGAUAGGUCUUCUGAAUGAACUAGAGGUUUUGGGGGCUGAAAUUGACAAUGACUCCCAAGUUGAGAUGAUAUUGCAGUCUCUGCCUGAUAGUUUUCAACAAUUUUGCCUAAAUUAUAAUAUGAAUAAGAUGAGUUUAUCUUUGGCACAAUUGUUGAAUGAGCUACAGGCGGCAGAGACCCUUGUCAAAAAACAUGCACCAUCAAUGACACUUAAUGUUGAGAAAGGUUCUACUUCUAAACCGCAAGGUGGACAGAAGAAGAAAAAGUCUCACAAAGCUAAGGCAACUGCACCUUCAACUGGGGGAGUGAAAAAGUCUAAGGGUAAGUGUUUUCAUUGCAAGAUGUCAGGUCAUUGGAAGGCACAUUGUCCAGUUUUCUUAGCCAAGAAGAAAAACAAAUCAGGUAACUCACUUUCACUUGUCGUUGAAACAUUUUUAGCGGAUAUUUCUGCCACUUCAUGGUGUGUAGAUUCAGGAGCCACUGAUCAUAUCUGCACUACUAUGCAGGGGUUUCAAGAAACGCGCAAGCUGAUUAGAGGUGAACUUAGCAUUUAUCAAGCAGAUGGCUCUACAGCUCCAGUUUUAGCAUUAGGAAAUAUUAUUUUUUCAUUUGAUAGUGGUAGAGUUUUAAUUUUAAAAGACAUUCUAUAUGCACCUGCUGUUAGAAGAAAUUUGAUUUCAGUUUCUAAAGUUUUGAGAGAUGGUUAUGAUGUUAGUUUUUCUGAUAACGGUUGUGUUAUUAGUUAUAAUAAACAUUUUGUCUCUGCUGGUACAUUGAUUGAUGGUCUUUUUAUUAUUAAUGUCUCUCCAGAACUGCAACAAUUCGUAGAAUUGAAUAAUGUUAACCUUUCAAGUAAAAGAAAACGUUCUUCUGAUUUUAAUGAGACUUAUCUAUGGCACUUGCGUCUAUGUCAUAUAAAUCUAGAUAGGAUUUCAAGGUUGGUUCGAGAUGGACCUUUAGGUUCAUUAAAAGUGGAGGCACUACCAACAUGUGAAUCUUGUUUAGAAGGAAAAAUGACUAAGAGACCUUUUCCCUCAAAAGGAAAUAGAGUCAGUGAUAAACUAGAGUUAAUUCAUUCUGAUUUGUGUGGCCCAAUGAACGUUCAAGCAAGAGGUAGGUAUGAGUACUUCAUGACCUUCAUUGAUGACUACUCAAAAUAUGGAUAUAUAUAUUUGUUGCGCCGUAAGUCUGAAUGCUUUGAUAAAUUCAAAGAGUUUAAGGCUGAAACAGAGAAAUAACAUGGAAUAUAUAUCAAGUCAUUGCGAUCUGAUCGUGGUGGCGAAUACCUCUCUAAUGAUUUUAUUAGUUACUUAUCAGAACAAGGAAUUACAUCUCAAAUGUCUGCACCUAGAACGCCACAACAAAAUGGUGUAGCAGAAAGAAGAAAUAGAACUCUUUUAGAAAUGGUUAGAUCAAUGAUGAGUUACUCUGAUUUGCCGCAUUCGUUUUGGGGAUAUGCCAUAGAAACUGCAAAUUACAUUCUGAACUUAGUUCCUUCUAAAUCUGUUCCUUUGACACCCAUUGAACUGUGGACUGGGCACAAACCUAGUUUGAGACAUAUUCGGGUUUGGGGAUGUCCAACACAUGUAUUAAAAGGAAAGGCAGUAAAAUUGGAACCUAAAACAGAAGUAUGUGUUUUUAUUGGAUACCCUAAAGGAACGAAAGGUGGUAUGUUUUAUAAUCCUAAAGAAAAGAAGGUCAUUGUGUCUACCAAUGCCAAGUUUCUGGAAACGGAUUUUUUAACAAACCAUAUUCCUAGAAGUAAACUAGUUUUACAGGAAUUGAGCAAAGAGAAAACAAAUCAAUCUACUGAAAAUAAUGAAAACCAAAUUCAAACCCCACAUGUUAGAGUUAACAUACCAUUGCAUUAUAAUAGUGGGAGAGAUGUUAACAAACAUAAAAUUCUGCAAGUACAAGAUCUUGAAAAUUCAUUGCAUCAAGGUAGUGGGAGUGAUAGUGAGCAGAUUGCAUUAGAGGAAGAAGUUGUUGAUAUCUCUGCACCGCAAGAUACUGAAGAUAACAUGGAAACUCAAGAUCCUAAAAAUGAUGUGGUUCCACCACAAGAUCAUAAUAAUGCAAAUCUCUCUGAACCUACCCCUACAACUGUAGUGUCUCGUCGUAGUGGGAGAGUGAUAAGAAAACCACUUCGGUAUGCACUCUUGGGAGAGUCUUUUGACAGAAUCCCUGAAGAGUCAAAUACCGAACCUGUGAAUUACGACGAAGCACUACAAGAUAAAGAUGCAGAAAAAUGGAUUGUUGCUAUGAAAUCAGAAAUGGAUUCUAUGUACUCUAACAAAGUCUGGGAUCUUGUAGAACCACCUGUAGAUGGAGUCAAACCCAUUGGAUGCAAGUGGAUAUAUAAGAAAAAGAGAGGAGUUGAUGGACAAGUGCAAACUUACAAAGCUAGACUUGUUGCAAAAGGGUUUACUCAGAAAGAAGGGAUCGACUAUGAGGAAACUUUUUCGCCAGUAGUCAUGCUUAAGUCUAUUAGAAUUCUCUUAUCCAUUGCUGCUCAUUAUGAUUAUGAGAUUUGGCAAAUGGAUGUCAAGACAGCUUUCCUUAAUGGAAGUCUUGAUGAAAGCAUAUAUAUGCGACAACCAGAUGGUUUCAUAAAAAAACGAAAAGAACACAUGUUGUGCAAGCUUAAAAGAUCUAUUUAUGCUUCUAGGGCAUGGAACACUUGCUUCGACACUGCAGUCAAGUCUUUUGGUUUUGGGCAAUGUCUUGAUGAGUCUUGUGUGUACAAAAAGAGAAAUGGGUGUUAGAGUUGUAGGUGCAUGGUUAUGAGUCUAAGUGGAAGAUUGUUAGGAUAUACUAUUAACCAUGCGUUUUGAUAUAGUAUUAAUAUUGAACAAUUGUUUAUUUAUUUAUUCAAUUCAAUACAGUGUUACAUUAAAUAGAUCAAUUGUCAUAUAUGUGUCCUUAACUUAUAUAGUAGAUGAUUUGGUGUAUAGAGUUUAAGCUUAUACACAGAAGAUUAAAUCAUCAGUUCUUAUAAGUUAAAAUUUAUAGUUCACAAUCAUAGAUGGAAAUUUGGACAAAAUCAUCAGAAAGAUUGUAGCACGAGAUUAAAUGUAAUUUAUCUUGAUUAUGAGAAUGGCAUAGUUCUAACUUCUCGUGCUAGUGCAUUUGGUAUGUAUUGAACGGGACCAAGAAGAGAUAGUUGUUUUAGACUGACUGAUAAAAACAUAUUCUCUAAACUAUUAAAUGUACUUAUAUUCUUAAUCUUGAUAUAACGAUUAUGAUCUGUAUAUAUUAUUUAUCAUUUUGAUUUAUUAAAAGGUGAGAUUCUGAGAUGGGUCAAUAUGCCUAGUAAAUUGGAUGAUAAUAAUAUAUAUUGGUGAAAUAAUUAGUUAGUUGAUGGAAUCCAUGUCUCAGUAUAGAGAUUGAUGAUACACCUUUUAUGAGAAGCUUGUAAGUUUUCAUGUGUAAACCCGGCCGGUAGAUUUAUGAAUCUGGCACAUGAAAUAAGUUAAGUAUUGCUCUAAAAGAAUUUAAUCAUUGAAUGAAAUUCGUCAGUAAUUUAAUUUAUUGAUUAGUAUCGGUAAUCUUAACAUGGGGAAUCAAAUAAGUGUUUGUGGUGAAUUUCGAAAUAAAUAGAGGAGUUCAAUUACGAAUUUUUAGUGGAAUGAUUUGUAAUUUAUUAUGGUAAGAAUAAUUUAAAUUAAUUAUUUAGAAUUAUUUCCAUAAUAGGAAGCCUCAGUAAUAAAUUCUGUGGUCCCUCCAGUGCCCAAUUUAACUAGAACUCAGAAUCCUAUUUUCUAGUAGAAGAUGGAAAAGUAGCGUUCUUUUUCUUAGGAGGAAAACGUGUGUUUUCAAGUUCUCCUAAAAGAAAAAGAAUUGGUUUUUCCUCUCCUCUUUGGACUAGGAAGACAUCUUCUAAAAGGAAAAAAAUUGGUUUUUCCUCUCCUCUUUGGACUAGGAAGACAUCUCCUAAAAGAAAAAGAAUUGGUUUUUCCUCUCCUCUUUGGACUAGGAAGACAUCUCUAUAAAUAGGGAUUUUUCUAACCUAGAUAGAAAGAGAGAAUUAUAUACAAUACUUGCCCACCCAAGUAUUGAGUGAGUUCACUUGUUGAUUGGGAUCACUGUAGAAGACUAUAGAACUGGAGUUGGAUUUACUUCAAGAUAUCUGCACACGCUUCAAGAGGUAAUCCUGAGUUAAUUUUCAGCAUACUUUGUAUGUGAUAACUAUUUGUGAUUGUUAUUUAUAUUCAUGCAAGAUGUAUGAUUCUGGAAUGCUUCCGCUGUGUAUGUUAUUUUUCCAACAUUGUCUCAAAUACCAUGUUUGUAUGAAUCAUUUAUGGUUGGACCGAAUACCACACCAGUACACUAACAGUUUGUAUGUGAAUUCUACGAGAGAACCAAAUUUACAUGUUGGUUCCAUGAGUAAACUAGUUUUACUUUUUCAUAAUGUGAUUAUGGCAUGUUGGUCCAUGAGAUGAUCGAAUAUAUGUAUUUUUGUGAUCACGUGGAGCAUUUUUCUUGCAUUGGUUCAGAAUGGUAUUGUGAUUUGGAGUCUGUUUCAUGUUGUGACUAUUUAUAUAUGUGUGUUGGUCAGUAUUAUUGUACUGUAGUACCCUGUUUACAUUCAUGUUCUGGAACUAUUCGUAUGAUCCUAAUAGUACACGAUUGCUGUAUAUUAUAAUUGUACUUGCUUUUUUGUAGUUGAGUACAAGGCAUAUUCAAACGGUUGAUACUAGACCUUAGUUGAAAGAUGUUUGACCAUCAAAUUCUAGGGUGAGCGGCUCUUGCGGACUAUCAUGAAUUCUUUCCGAUUCCUUUUUCAAUCUUUUUAGACACACAUUUUAGACUUUUAGGCUAAUGUUUUCUAGUUUUCUGGGUUGUAUCCCAACUAGUAAUUAUUUGGAGUUUUGGUGUUAUUACAUUCAGAUUCUAGGGGUUAAAUAUAAGAAUGAUGCGCGACAUGAAGUUAUGUAUUAAGUAUUUUACAUAUUGAAUACACUGACAUUAUUGUAAUAUUAUUUUGUCACUAUCAAUGUUGUUGCAGUAAUGAAGUUCUGAUGAUUUGAUACAUACAAUUAGAAACAUGUUAGUUAGCAUGGUCUAGAGGAACAAUGAACUAAGCUGGAAAAAUCCAAGAGCAAGCAAAUAGAAUGAGUAAAGACAAUUGUGCAGGAAUCACUGAGCAUAUAAUAUUAGUUACGAGAUAAAGCGCAAGAAGUCUGAGUGAAGAGUUGAAGUUCAAUAACAACACUGAUGAAGAAAGAAGUUUGUCAUUGAUGGGGUUGAGUUAUAGAAAAAGUGGCAGGAGAAAAAGCAAUCAAUAUAUUGACUUUUUGAAGCAACAGUUUUGAUGAACCAGGUUCUACAAUAGAAUUUAUGUUCUAGGAAGUUUUUCUUUGUGUUUCUGUUUUGAUGUAUUUAUAGUUCAGUAAGUAAUAAGCUAAAAUAGAAUCAUAGUAUUCAAGUUGAAGGCAACUCGAAGACUUUGUAGCAAAAGCCUCGAAGGUUUGUGCUAGGAUAGUGCUUAAUUUAUUAUUCUGCAAAUUACAUAGGUUUGUAAUCCUAUUUGUUGAGACUCAUUGUUUUAUUGAAGUUUAGAGUAAAUUUUAUUGUGAAACAGAUCAUGAUAUUUACACCUUUUGAGCCAAGUAUUUCCCCUUCAAGUAUUUUUUACUAUGUUUACCUUUAUUUUAUACUAUAUUUUAGGCAACUUGUUCACUUAGAUAAGAUCACAUAGAUGGAUAAGAAAGAUAAUUCUAAGUCGUGUAGAAUAUUAAAUGUGUAUACAUUUAAUUCUUAAUCAAUUGUUGUCCCUGAUUCUCAUGUCUUAUUGUUAUAUAGGAUUAUAGGGGCUUCUAUUAUAUAGAGUGAUUUACAAAAAUAAAUGCAUCAAUAACAAGAAGAUGAAUGCAUCAAUAACAUAUUUUUGUAAGUAGUGUUUUUACAAGCCAUUAGCUACGAUGUUUAUGGAUUAACCCCAUUUAAUUUGUGCUAAAUAGGUCCUAAAUCAAAAUUUCAUAUAAUACAUUGUGAUUUCAUAGCAAAAUGAGAUUAACAUGAAAUUUCUGUUGUUUAGGUACAAAAUUUUGUCACUCAUUAGUUACUUAUUUUCUAGUAGUGGUGUUAGAAUAUAGAAAUUAAAUUCAUUUGAGCAAACCUGUUGGGUAACUGCUACAAUAUUGAGGUCAGGACCAGGCAUAGAAGCUGUGACAAACACAGCCACAGCAAUCUUUUGAGGGAACUUUUCCAUGGCAAGAGAUAUGUUGAUGCCACCCAAACUAUGUCCCACUAAAACAACUCUUUCUUGUUGUGGCAAAGAAUUCAUAAAUUCCAUUAAUGGUUCGUUGUAAUCAGCCAUUGAAUUGAGAUCAUUAACAUGUUUUGGAUUAAUUCCAGAGGCAGCCAUGUCAAGAACACUAACUUUGUGUCCUUCACUUCUUAGAAUUGUCACAACUUUGUACCAACACCAUGCACCAUGACAAGCUCCAUGAACUAGUAAAAAGUGAUUUUUAUCACCCUUUUCCAUUUUCCCCUCUUUUUCUUGAAGAAUUGUUUAGAUGACACUUUUC